rnacentral:lncRNA from 1 species
UCCUUUAAUAGAUCUCGACGAGAUUCUUUUUUUUUUUUUUUUUUUUUUUUUUUUUUUUUGAACAAAGAUCUCGACGAGAUUCAUGAUACAUUUUUACGAUAGCCCUGCAUUCGAUAUACAUUGUAUCGUUCAAGACUUGAGUUUUUUACCGACGGAGCUGACAUAAAAAGUUGAGUUUUGUGGAUUUGUCCACUGAACUUGCAGAGCACUUAUGAGAUAUUAAAAAAAAACCAGGAAAAAGACAAGACUAAAAAGGCGGAAAGAACCAAAAAACUACAACAUACUACAUUAAUUAUUUAUUAAUAAUAUAUAUGCAGCAUGCAUGAAUCCUGACAAGAACCUACAAUCAUCGCUCUCUCUUUCCUUAUUUUAAAUAAAACAAACAAAAACUCCCUCAUCCUUAAUUCUUUGACAAGAUAAAUUUGUUUGAAGGAUUCACAGUCGUUUAGACUAUCUUCUAAACAGAUAAGAGAAUAUGCAGUAAAUAGUCAAAUUAUAUUAUUUGACGACAAAAAAAAAAAUAGUCAAAUUAUAUUAUUUACUAUAUUUGCAACAAAAAAAAAAUGGAUAGUAAAAUCAUAAGUAACUUGGUUUAGUUCUCGUGUAAGUUUUUGUUUCAAAAUAACAUGGAUUUAAACUCAUACGUACGUGAUUCUAAAAAAUAUCAUGGUAUCUUAGUAUAUUAAAUAUCAUGGUAUGUUAGUAUAUUACACGCUAAUACGCUAUAUGCUUAUAUGUUAACAUAUAUAUGAAAACUAUACAACUUUUUACGGUUUUGCCAUAAUGUUCUCUGCCAACUUUGCUUUAAAAAUUGUCUCUCUAGCAGAUAAACCCAAACAAAUAUCUUAUCAAUCUCACAUGUUCAUAGACUUAUCUCAUAUCGAGUGCAGUUUUUGAGAAUAUUUAAGAUUAAUCUAAAAUAUUUGCCACCAAGAAAUUUUCAUGAAUUUUUCUUUCCCGUGCCCUAUCAUCAAUAAGAUAAAGUUGCUAUAUUAUUAGCUGAAAAUACCAAUUAACAUAGUUGAGACAACGUCGACAUAUAUACUUUCCAUUAAUAACGACAGUAUAUGGGUUUGGUACAAAACACUUAAACACAUACCAAAGAUACGGCGCAAGUGAAUUUUAAAUAAAAAGUAAGUAGAUCUUUCGAAAAAAAAAUCCUUUUAAGUUGUUUCAAGUGACAUUGGUGUGUCUCGCACUUGAAUGCUUUGCCAUCACAAAAAGAGCCAAAAGGCUAAAGCUCUAAGCUUUUUUAUAUACUACUAAAACUAUGUAAUGAUCAAAUAAUAGCUAGGCAGAUUCAUGCAUUUAUUAUAAUUUAUAUAUGUUCACUUCAUUUGAAAUUUUAAUUACGUGCUAAAGUUAUAAUUAAUCAUCAUUAGCCGGCACUAUGUUUGGCUUUUGUUCACACAAAUGGCAAUGUUGUUGUGAAAAGGACAUGUGAACUAAACAAAGACAAUAUCUUUCCUAAUGUCACACACGAACACAAAACAUCACUAUCCAUUUUUAAUUAUUACUAUUAUUAUGACUAUUAUAAAUAAACUCUACUUAGUUAUGCCCAUUUUUUUCUACUUCUGUACGCGUGUGUAAGUGUCUAUUAAAGGAAUAUUAAAGAUGCCUAUAAUUUCUCUAAUUUUUAACUAAUGUCCAUGACUUAUUUGUCCGAUCGAAACUUUUUUUUUUAAUAGACUAUAUUAAAAAGUGCCCUCUCUAAAAAGUACUACAACCUUAUUAUAAAAUACCUUGUAAUUGUAAUAUAUAGUAAAGUUUUUAUAAUACAUAAAUAAUGCUCUGGGUUAUUAUUAGGAUAAAGAAGGCAUAUGCAUAUUUGAUCUUUUGACAUUGGCGCUUUUCAUACUUCAAGAAAAAUGUCAUUUUUGGGAUCCAUAUGAGAUUCGAUCAAUUUAUCAAGUCCUAUAUCGAUUCGAUGUUUAGUUUUUUUUUUUUUUCCUUUUAACAUUGUUUUAAUCUGUAAUUUAUUAUGUUACACUUCGCUGAACAUUAAUACUUUAAUAGUAUGAAUUCCUUGACAUCAAUUAAGACGGUACACUCGGCACUGAUGAGCUCUACACUGAAAAAAGAAAAGUUAACUAUGUAAGACUAUGAGUUUAUACACUUCUAGUGAUAACGUUCAUAUUUACUUUUGGGUGCGUUCCAAAAAUAUGUAAUCAUAUUAGAUUUUACGUGUAUAAUAACUAAUAAGUAGUGUAUACUGUAUACUAUGAAUAUUGACUUGUUGUAAUAAGGCCGAUUAGUGAAGGCAAAAACAAAGUAACGAGGCCCAUUUAGGCUGUGUUAGUGUUGUUGUAGGCUUGUAGCGUAAACUUUUGGGGGUAUUGGGGCACUUUUUUAGGCCUGCAAUACGUAUGUGAGCUACAAGAAUACAACAACACUAACAUUUAUCAUUUACAGUAUGUAAUUCAACGAUAACACAAAAAGUUUUUUUCUAUCACCAAACUAUGGCAGAGGCUCAAUUUUUUCCAGAGUUACUGAGUCACCGGACUGAACCGAUUGGAUUACUUGAAUAUACGUAUAUUUUCAAUUUGAAUGAAGUCAAUAACUUCGGGUUUGUAAAUAUAUAUAUUUUAUAAAAAUAUAUAUAUAUAUAUAUAUAUAUAAUUGACAUCAAAAUUAUUUAUCAAGAAAUUAAAUUUCAAAUAUUUCAUUACAAAGACAAUUAAAAUAGCAACUCAAACACAUCACGAGCCCAUCCAAAUCUGACCAACAUAACAUAUAGUUAUUGACAGUAAUCGGGAAAAAAACACACACACACACACACAGAGUCACACACACGAACAAACAGUCAAGAAUCAGAUUAUAUGGAAAAAAGGAAAUUUAAUUAUCGUUGAAUUCCCAACAAUUUGUUCUGAUCUCACCGUCUUCACCGGUGUAGACAUUAACGGCUCCCAAUUUCACCAUCGCAAUCGCAAACUGGCGUUUGAAUAAGUCGUUGUCAGCUGCGUAUUGAGCCACCACACUAGAAGUUGCUUCGUCGGUUGCGAGCCGCUGGUCAAGUUGCAAAACUCCUCUCCUCGCUCGGAUUUGCCCAAAGAAUGCGUUAUCAAAAGUCAACGGUGUUGACCUGUCCAGUCCAGUUGUUUACUGGUUAAACUGUAUACAUAAAGCUUUCAAAUAUUAACUCUUACGUUCGUUUACUAAUUAAUGCAUCGCUUAUAUCUUUCUCUCGUUGAUAGGGUAGUUAAUUAGCAAUGAUUCAACUGCCUAAUGGACUUACUAUGAAUCAAAAGAAAAAAUAUCAAAAACGAAAAAGACUUUUGAUUUAGUUUUAAGUAAUUUUAAUUUUUGCUAUCUGAGGAAACAAAACCAAAUCUGAAUUCAAACCGACUCAAAAAGAAAAUCAAAACCAAAAUUUAAAUUCUUGUGAAAUUAAAAAUAGAUUUGACUACAAUCUGAAUUCAAAACAAAGGGACCAAAAACUGAUAUCGUACUAAACCGAUCCAUACUAGAUUUCAUUAUAGCUACUAAUAUUCUAAAACCAACAAUAUAAAGUUAAAAACGACAAAAGUUAGUCCCGUGAAGUAUAAACUUAAAACUGAAUUUCGGACUUGAAAAUGAUUUAUAAUUAUGCUUGUCUUGCUUACUUGGCAACCAAAUCCGGGUCCAUGGAUGGGUCAGGAAGUCCGGUUCCGUUGAAAUUUGUGAGCCGGUUCCUGAAUAGACCACAAGAUCCUACACCAACCGUGUGUGCACCCAACAGAGCCACUGCAUCCAACGUGGUCAUCGUUUUGUCCCCAAAGAAACUGAGAAAGGCAGCCACGGAGGCGGUUGGUCCAACAAGUCAAACACGCCGCUCGCAUUAGUUUUCAACCCAUCACGUCGUCCCGUGGUGAUGUUGUAGUUCGGCCCUCCGGCUAAUGCCACAGAGUCACGUGUGGCAAGUGCCAUUAUGUCAGCGCACGAGACGUUUGAUGGACACUGAGCCUCAAGCUCGGUCUUGAUCUCGUCGAUUAGCUCAAAGCCUCUCACGCUCAAGUUUGGACCGACGAAUCUUUCUGAAUCAGUCGAGUUUAAUAGGAUAGAACCGUCGCAGCCUUAUAGGAUAUAUGUAAAGUGUUUUAACCAAAAUUAAUCAAUCGAUCCAAAAGUUUUUUAAAACACAAUGUUUAAACAAUAUUUAAUUUCUAUUCUAAGCACAAACCAAUUAAAACCUAAAAUUCUCAUUUUAUGUAUUUGAGGUUUCACACUCCGACACUCGAAUUGAAAUUAGUCUCAACAUAUCAAAAUGUCAAUACAAUUUUUGGAAUAAUGUUCGAUGAGACUCAUACCCCAACAAAACAGUCGUGAAAAUUCAUCCGAAGCAAAGCGGCUGCAAUCGUAGGGUCACUCUCGAACUCAUCGCUAACGAGAUUCCGAACGAUAGUUUCUGCACUAGGGCAUGAGUUGUUAUAAAAUCCGACUCUCAAUUGAGCAAACGUGACCGGAAUAAUGGAAAGAAUUGAGAGUAGAGUAAACAAUUUUCAAUCUUCAUCUUGUUUUGUAUAAAGGUUUAUAUACAGUUAAGUGUUAUUUGUCGUAUAUGUGUUAUGAGAAAUUUGAGAUCCACCAUAAAUUACUAUAUAUACACAAAAAUCUACCGUGGAUAAUAUAUUUUUAUAGAGGGAAAUUACAUACGUGUAAGUCAAAUUUAUUUAAACUAUAAACGCAAAGGGAAACAUUCCGGUGCCUUAAGUAGAUAAUAAUAUUUAUGAACAAAAGUAGAUAUCGACAGAAUCUUUAAUCUUUUAUUGUCGGUAAGAUGUAUGUUUCAACUCGUAUUUUAUUUGGUCAAAAUAAUCUCUUUUAUCGUAUAUAUUCACUGUAAAAUUUAUGUGAAAAACUAUAAAUUUCGGAAAAUGUCAGCUGCUUGCUGCUAAAUAUUGAACAUAUCUAUAGUGCAUUUUAUUUGGCUUCUAUAUUGAAGAAAUAAAAAUUUAAGAUUAAUUGCAAAUUAUGAGAACUGUUACAUAGACGAUUCUACAACUGACAAUUUCUACCGAUCCUUAGUAGAUCCACGACAGACUACACUUCCUUCUUCAUGAUUUUGAUGAAUACCUUCAAUGAUCCACGACCUAGCGACACUUCCUUCUCUGCGUAGAAUCCUGGCGCACGGCUAUAAUUGUACAUCGCUGGAGAUCUCCUGCACACUUGCCUCCAUUAAUCUGCAAAUUUGUUAAUAAAUCGCAAUAUCUGGGACUCGAACCCCAGACCUCUUAGUGUAGAAGCAUUAAUCAACCUUUGGUCAACCAAUGGGCCAAAGGGGCUUCCACAAUUUGGCUUCUAUAUUGAAGAAAUAAAAAUUUAAGAAAUAAAAUAAGUAUUUUAUAUUAGUAAGCUAAUUAAAUUGGACAUUGACACUAUAUAAUUUGUUUACUCUACAUCUAAUUCUAUAAUUUUGAUUUUUUCUUUUGGAUAUUUCUUUUGUAAGACUUCCGCAUGAUUCCGAAAGUUAGAUGAGUUCAAUUAUUGGACAAUCUUAUAUCUUAUGUUUUGUUUCCUUCAUAUUUUACUCAAUUAUAAAUCAAAACUUAAAUACAGGAGACAUCCCUAACAAAAAAUUGUUUACUGAUAUAUUCUCUCUGUCCCACAAAGAUGAAUUUUUUAGAAAAAAAAUUUGUCUCACAAAGAUAGAAGUUUUGUGUUUUCAAUGUCAAAUUUAAAACAGUUUACCUAUUUUACUCUUAUUAAACAAUAAUAAAUAAUAUACUCUUUAAGAUAUUAAAAAGUUAAAAUUGUUAUAAUACAUUAUUUCUUAAAAAAUGUGAAAUUUCUAAAAAAUCUAUCUUUAUGGGACGGAUGGAGAAUUUGAGUUCUUUAAUUAGAAUAUCCAGAUAUAAACUUUGUGUUAUCUUUUCAAUAACAACGUGAGGUAAAAUUAUGCGUUAUUUAUUUUGAAUUUUAAAUAUAUAUCAAUGUUUAGUGUUAUAGAAUCAAAAAUGUUUUACAAAUGAUCUUAUUAAAAAACAAAAAAGAUACUAAAAGAUAAAAUUUAGGGCACAUGCAGUCCAAAAAAAUCGAGAUCCAUAUAAAAGUUUAUAGUUUUAACUUUAAAUUCAAUAUAUAACACCCUUUUAAGCGUUAAGAAAAGAAUAAAAGAUCCACAAUCGUAUUACAUACCAAGAUGGGGUUAAUUUAAUGCAAUGCAAUGAGCCAAUGACUUACUCCUUUAAUUAGUUUCCUGAAAAGACCCACACUCAAAAAAAAAAAAAAAAACAUUGACAUUUUUUUUUGUUUGUUACAUUAUUCUUGACGUUGGUUAAAAAACAAAAAAAAUUGUGAUGUCUAAUGGUUGGUGAUGUCAUUUUAUGAUGCUUUCAAUAUAUAUGAUCUAGAAUAAAAAUUGUCAAAGAUUAAAGUACUUUUUAUUAAGCAAAUGAGCUAGGGUUGACUUUUUCUGGCUCAUAUGAACAUAUUCGUACUCUAAGACGAGUUUUGAAGUCGUGAAUUCUAGCUAAAUUCAAUAAGAUAACAAAAAGUACGACUUUUUCUUUUCAGAAAACCACAUAUACGACUUUCCUGGUUAUGCUACAUUAUAAUCACAAAUUCACAAUAUGUGGCUGAUUUUUAAUUUGGUUAUGUGUAUACAGGAAAUGGUUUUUUAUUUUUCUGUUACUUCUCGCACAAGUUAACCAUUUCUUCAGUUUUUUAUAUUUUAAUUCCAUGUGUUGCGUCCGAUUCAAUUUGGAAUCCGGUCAAAUAAAAAGGAUUUAAUUUCUCAAUCUUUCUAUAAUUCAAAUUAAUUGGAUAGAGCCGGAAAAUAAAUUACGUAUCCAAGUGCUUGAGCAUGAAAAAGAUACAACUCUGAAGUUAGUUUUUGGAGUCAGAUAAACUAAAAUACAUCACAAUUCACUCAAAUCUCGUACCAACAUAACAUAUUGUUGUUAUCAGAUCGAUUCACCAAACAUUAUUUUAAAGAUAUACGUACAUACAUAUAAUUAUAUAGGCAAACAAUCACCAUUCACAAUUCAUCAUCAUAAGCGAAAAGAAAAGAAAAAAAUCAAUAAUCAGGUUUAGAAACAGGUUAUCAAGCUUUAGUUGAAUGCUCUACAAUUCGUCCUGAUCUCACCAGCUGAACCGGUAAGCACGUCAAGGGCUCCCAUCUUCACCAUCGCGAUUGCGAACUGACGUUUGAAUAGUUCAUUGUUGGCCGCGUACUGAAACACAACACCAGAAGUGGCCGGGUCGGUCGCGAUUAGUUGGUCGAUUAACAAAAUUCCUUUCCUCUCUCUGAUCUGACCAAAGAACAAGUUGUCGAAUGAGACCGGCCUUACUGGCAUCGACUGGUCCAGUGCCGCGAAGCCGCCUGGAACCGCACAUGUGUCCCUUAGCCUAUAUGAGAGAUAUUAACUAUAUAACACAUAUCUAUAGUAGUUAAUCACGUAAACACGGCUAAACUCGAUUUCAAUUACCUGCCAGCCAAAAAGGGGUCCAUGGAUGGGUCGGGUAGUCCGGUUCCUUGAAAGUUGGUGGCCCGGUCAAUAAAAUUACCACAAGAAGCGACCCCAACCGUGUGCGCCCCCAAAAGAGCUACGGCAUCAAAAACAUUCAUUCCUUUGUUGCCGAAGAAACUUAACAGACCUUCGACGGAGAUGAAUGGUGGAGGGAGGAUCCUAUUGGCGUCUUCAGGGUUCGACACAAAGCCAUCACGACGUCCGGUGGGGACCGUGUAGUUAGGCCCUCCGCCUAAGAACACGGAGUCACGUGUGGCGAGCGUGACUAUGUCGGAGCACGAGACCUUGGAGGGACAUUGAGCUUCGAGUGCCGUCUUGAUCUCGUCGAUCAGCUCGAACCCUCUCACGCUACCGUUUGGGCCGGCGGUUUUUUCCGAUGAUUGAGACGUCGUUUGGUCUAUGAGGAGAGAAGCGUCGCAGCCCUAUGAGAAAUGUCAACGAGAUAUUGUCUUUUAAAAAACCGUUGCAUAUAUUUAAUAAUAUUCAAGUAAAGAGGAUAAAAAAAUAAAUAAAGACAAGAUUUAAUUUUCAGAAAAUUAUAUAUAGUUUUGCUGGUUUUUUGUUUUUAACUCGAUUGAAUAAUUUCUUACAUAGUUCUCUUUGAUUGCAUCUCUUCUAAUAAACCUAACGAUACUUAAGCCAAUAACAAACAAACACAAAAUAACUAAUGAUACUAAAAUUAAAGAUGAUACUAAAAUUAAAGCUGAUGUUUGAUGAGAUUCAUACCUGGACAAAACAGUCAUGAAAAUGCAUCCGAGUCAAGGCGGCAGUGAUUGUAGGAUCACUACCAAAACGCUGGCGGACCAGGUUUUGUACGAUUGUCUCUGCAUCAGGGCACGAUUCUUUGUAAAACCCGAAUUUUAGCUGCGCUAAUGCCACGGGGAAAAUAAAUAAAAUCAAGAGUAGAACAGAAAACUUUGCAAUCUUCAUCUUGUUUUUGUAAUAGUGCUAUGUUCUUGUAGAAAGGUAAAUGAUACCUCUUAAUUAGAUAAACCAUUACUAUAUAAAUACGCCAAAAUGGACCGUCUAUAUAGAAAAUUAAUAUAUCUUGUAUAUAUCGACUAGGUCAGUCAAAUAUAUAUAUAUAUAUAUAUAAAUUAAGAGAGGUAAAUUUAUAUAUAAACCCAAAAGGCGUACGUAUGGACUACUUUGAAACAUUCAGCUGCCUUAUGAUAUACUUAGUUAUAUAUUUACGAUAUACGGCUACUAGGAAAUGGAAAUGAAUGUAACUAAGUGAUUCAAAUUAGAAUUCUACAUUGGAAACAAGAUGAAAAAUAUAUAGUAAAGAGAUAUGAGUUAAUCUAUUUAUCGUCAAUUAGUUACGGAUUGAAAUCCCAUUACGGAUGAGCACAAUAUGAUAUCAACAUCCAGUUGAUACGAUGUGUAUUUUUUUUCUAGAAUGAAAGUCAUUUAAAAUAAACCGUAUGAGCCAUCAUCAUCAUCUCAUCAGGCAUCAACAAAUCGUAUUUUAAUAUUACUAUAGAUCAUAUAUUUUGAUGCACUAACUUGACUAGGAUAAUGGGAUUGUAAGUAACUGAUUUUAUAAAUCCGGUAUAAACCGAUUAGAUGGCAAGAAGGUAACUAAAUGUUCUUAUGAUUAGUUAUAUGAGGCUUAGUUUUCUCGAGAACUACUUGUUCUAGGAAUUAGAUCUUUUGAAAUUUUCUUGAGAUAUACUACGAGAUAGACUAUAGUUUUAGACAAUCUUGUUACUAGUAUGAUUUAAUAUUAGUCAACGACACAAAACAAUCAAAUUUAUCUACAUAAAAAAUAACAAGUGUCCUAAUUAAGAAGAAGAUAAAUGAGCCAUCAUACGACUAAGUGUAAAUCAACAUGGAGUUAAUUUAGUGCAAAGACUCGUUCUUAAUCUCCUCCAUACAAAAAAAAAACACUUUUUUGUUUGUUUUAAGCGAUUAUGAAAAUUUCAUAUAUAUUUAUAUAUAUAUAUAUAUAUUAUUGGUUACUUUCAUGAUUGUACUUAUAAGACCAAAGCAUAUAUAUUUCGUAGAGAUUUGUGUAAAGAAGUUGUCGUCGUUGCAAAAAAAAAAAAAAAAAAAACAAAUUAGGAGGUAAUGUGACAUGCCCAUUAAUUAAUUACAAAUAUUAAAGUAGAUAGGGUUUAAAGAGCCUUACCUUUGACUUGAUGAAAAUUGCAACUUCUUCUUUGUUUGUUCUAUAAAAUAGUUGAAUCUGGUCAUGUGUUUAUGGAAAAUGGACCAAAUGGUUCAUUAGUUGUUAUAUACUGCUCAAGUUGAUAAAAUAAAUACUCGGUUAUUUUCAUGUAUAUAUGGCGAGGGCUCGCAGAUAUGGGUAUGACGUUACAUUAGCAUACCUUACGCAUAUGGGUAUGACGUUACAUUAGCAUACCUUACGCAAUUUCUAACAUGAUUAUAUAUAUAUAGAGUUUGAUUGCCCCCUGACCAAAAAAAAAAGAGUUUGAUUGCCCUGGUUGGAUGUCUUUAUACCGUAAUAGCUACUACUAGGCGGUUUAAUUAAUUAGGGACUCGUCUUCACAUCAAUAAUCUUUAAAAUAAUGGAUUUUGCUGAUUAAAAAAUAGUUGCAGACGCCGAUGAUGAGUCUCAUAUGGUUCCCAUCCUCACGGAUCCAUAAAUGAAACGUUUUAUAUUUUUGUUUAACAUAAAUUAAAAAUAUAAGUUUGAUUACAUGAAAUUAUUGUAAAAUAUUAGCAUCUCAAAGCCUAAUCACCUGAAAGGCUUAACAUUAAGUGAACAUUAAUUGAAGUAUUAAGUAAUUUUUAACAUGCUAAGGUGAAGCCCGCUCUUUAAGUACAUUGGGCUGGGCCAAGUUUGAAUUUAUCAUUACCGACCCGACCCAACAUGAUCAAAUCUGACAUGGCUGAUCCAGAGAAUCUGGUUUUGUUUUUGGUUCAAAGUGUUGAGCAACUCGAAAAACUGAAACAAUGAUCAAAGCUCAACUAUAAUUUUAUUAUUUAUUGAUGAAGCCCAUAUGAAACAAACAAAAGGAAAAUAGUUUUAUACGAAAUAAAUACCGUUGGAGAAAACAUAUCUGACAGAGACCAAUGCGAGGCAAUAUGUGGAAAACAGUAUAUUAUACUUUUAUUUUUGAGAAACAAAUGCAUGAAGAAAAGUUAUAGAACAGGCUAGUCUUUAUAUUUAUAUUUAUUUCAAUAUCUUUUUGUUUUGAAAAAUCCAUUAUCUUUAUGUCGCUGCAAGAAACACGAAAACAAAGCAACGUUCAUUUCUGCAGAGAGCAGGCAAACUAAAAGUAAAGCAAGUUGGGAUAUUUCAUAUUUAUUAAUUAUGGAAAAAGGGACUAUCGAGUAUUUACAAUAAUAAAAAAGGAGAUUUAGAAAGAAAAAAAACUAUGGGUAAAUGUCACUUUAAUGCCAAAUCAUCAAGAUCCUCUGAUGUUUUUGUUCCGAAGAUCUUUGUUCAAAUUUUAAUAAAUCUCGAUCUACUAAAGUUGUUUGCUUUAAAUGAAAGCUUCUUCUCCCAUUGUGGCAAUGAGAUUAUUUUUUAAACCUACCAGACACAAAACUUGAUAAAAGGAAAUUACUUAACCAAUAAUACUUUACUCACCCGGUGAAAGUGAGACACCAAAUACUUAUUCAUACCUAAUUUAUUGUUGUGCAUUAUGCAUGUAUAUAUCUUAUAAAUACGUCAGUUGUAUUAUAAAAUGUUGGUCCAAAUUUUUAAAAGGUCAGGAUUUACGUACGGAUUUAAAUUAAUUUAUUUUGAUAAGAUUCGUAAGAACUGAGUAGUUCCAAACUUUCACUGAAAAUUAUAAUUAAAAAGUACUACUACUUAUAGACAUGAAAGAUAUGUACAUGAUGAAUAUGUGUGCCGUGCACGUGGGCAUAUUGGAACAAGAAUAACGGCUUCUGAUGUACAAGUACUAUAUGUAGAUUCUAUAAUAUCAGUGUUAUAACAAGUACAUCCAGAAAUACAUAGAGACAAAUAAAACGUGUGAUUGAAAAAAAAAAAAAAUCAUGCAAUUCAAAGUUCGAGUUCGUACGACUGCAAAUAUUCUGCUUUUUGUGUGUUUUAACUUUCUCAUUGCGGUUUACAUUUAUGAAAAGAUUCUCCUUUGCAAAUACAUGAAUAAUAUUUUACCGGCCAUACAAUUACAAGCAAACAUUUCAUGUUUACAUAAUAAGAAACAUUUUUCGUGAUAGGCGUUGAUUUGCUAUAUAUCCGCUUCACGUCACAUGUUAAAAUCACUCAUAUAUACUCCAACUACUCGACUUACAGAGCUAUUCAGGAGAUAAAAGAAGAGUUAUCAUGGAUUGAGAAUGAAUCAAGAGAUAUGGUCAUUCACGAACAGAAGCGGUUGAGGUUGUGUCAUGACUUGCAGCUAAAAUUUCGUGAUUUAUAAUUUAUUUACCUACUCACUAAUAAGUAAUAUCCACAUUUCUCUGCCUCUUUGGUUAUAUUGUGUAUAAAUUAGCAUUCAUAAACGUCAAUGAGGAUAUUUAAUGGCCUCUUAUUCUUUUAAUUCGUCAAAGACUUUGACAUCAAAGAUUUCCACUGAAAAACAAAAUUAUGUUUGUAAAUUUUGACAUAAAAAUUAAAGCGUUCUUGUGUUUGAAUUCGGUGAGAUUACAUUAAUUAAUGCAUAACGUAAGUUUAGACUCAAACAAUAUGAGUUCAUUAAUUAAUUUGUAACGUUAUAAAAUAAUUUGUCAUUUUGUUCAUAUAUCAACGCGGAAGGUUGAAAAUGCAUCACCACCAGUAAUCUCCCGAUUUCUAAAUUGUAGAAAAGAUUUAUUAACAAAUGAAAACCAAGAAAAAUUCAUGAUUUUUUUCAGAAUAUGGUAUUUUCUUUUCUUUUUCGUUUAAUAUGUGAUUCCACAGCAGCACCAAGCACGGUGUUCAGACACACCUGAACCAAUUAUUUUAUUCAAAAAAGCAUUAAAAAGAAAAAUAAAAUAAGAUUCGUCCUCUAAUGUCAAAUCACGUGGCAUAUUAUCCGACGUGUCAUUACUGACGUGUCGUGACUCUACCUCCAACCCCUUUUUAAACCUUCACUCUCGAGCGUCGAACACAAACAGUGCUUUCUCUUUCUCUCUAGACAAUAAAAAAUUCAAACUUUAUUUCUCUCUCUCUCUUUCAAAAGAAACUGAACAGUCUCAUUCAUCUUCUUCAAUCGCAAGAAAAAAUCUGAUCAGCUUCAAUUUUCUCCGAGAAGGAAACAAUGGCGGACAUUGUUCUGAGGAAGCUGAUUGUUGAGAUCUGUAGCGCAAGAAAUCUGAUGCCUAAGGAUGGUCAAGGCACGGCGAGCGCUUACGCAAUUGUAGAUUUUGACGGCCAACGGCGACGGACGAAGACGAAAUUCCGAGAUCUGAAUCCACAAUGGGACGAGAAGCUCGAGUUCUUCGUCCACGACACGGCGACUAUGGGGGAGGAGAUUCUUGAGAUCAAUCUUUGCAACGACAAGAAGACGGGAAAACGGAGCACGUUUCUCGGGAAGGUUAAGAUCGCCGGAAGUUCGUUUGCGGCGGCUGGAUCUGAAACUCUUGUUUACUAUCCGCUUGAGAAAAGGAGCGUUUUCUCUCAGAUCAAAGGUGAGAUUGGAUUAAAAGCGUACUACGUCGAUGAGAAUCCACCGGCGACGGAGCAGAAACCUGAGGCUGCAGCUGCGACGGUAGAGAAGGCGCCGGAGAAUCCAAAAGCAGAGGAGGGGAAGAAAGAAACAGAGGAGGCGAAAACAGAGGAGAAGAAGGAAGGAGAUAAAAAAGAAGAGGAGAAACCUAAGAAAGAAGCUAAACCAGACGAGAAAAAACCCGAUGCGGCAGCUCCUGCGCCACCGGAUACUAAGGCAAAGACGCCUGAUGCCGCCGCAGCUCCUCCUCCUCCUCCGGCUGAGAUUAAGAAUCCGCCUUUACUGCAGAAGGCAGAGACUGUGAAGCAGAAUGAAUUAGGAAUUAAACCGGAGAACGUAAACCGGCAAGAUCUAAUCGGGUCCGAUCUCCAGCUUCCUUCACUAACCAGAGAUCAGAACCGUGGUGGUGGCUACGAUCUCGUCGAUCGAAUGCCGUUUCUAUAUAUCCGUGUAGCUAAAGCGAAGCGAGCAAAGAACGAUGGAAGUAAUCCGAUUUAUGCAAAGCUCGUGAUCGGAACAAAUGGUGUGAAAACCAGAAGCCAAACCGGUAAAGAUUGGGAUCAAGUGUUUGCUUUCGAGAAAGAGAGCUUAAACUCAAGCUCACUUGAAGUUUCCGUUUGGAGUGAAGAGAAGAUUGAGAAGGAAGAUAAAACGACGACGACUACUGAGAGUUGUUUAGGAACGGUGUCGUUUGAUCUUCAAGAGGUUCCUAAGAGAGUGCCUCCGGAUAGUCCUUUAGCUCCUCAAUGGUACACAUUGGAAUCUGAGAAAUCGCCGGGAAAUGACGUCAUGCUCGCUGUUUGGCUCGGGACUCAAGCUGAUGAAGCGUUUCAAGAAGCUUGGCAAUCUGAUUCUGGUGGAUUGAUUCCGGAGACGAGAUCCAAAGUUUACUUAUCUCCGAAGCUUUGGUAUUUGCGUCUAACGGUAAUACAAACCCAAGAUUUGCAGCUAGGUUUGGGAUCCGAACCUAAGUCAAAGAUCCCCACCACUGAGCUUUAUGUGAAAGCUCAGCUUGGACCUCAAGUCUUCAAAACGGCUAGGACUUCGAUUGGGCCGUCGACUUCUUCGUCAGGAUCAGGUAACCCGACUUGGAAUGAGGAUCUUGUUUUUGUAGCUUCCGAGCCUUUUGAGCCGUUCUUGAUAGUGACUGUGGAAGAUAUAACAAACGGGCAAUCAAUUGGUCAGACCAAGAUACAUAUGGGAAGCGUGGAGAGGAGAAAUGAUGACCGGACUGAACCGAAAUCGAGGUGGUUUAAUCUCGCCGGCGAUGAGAAUAAACCAUACUCCGGGAGAAUCCACGUGAAAGUUUGUCUUGAAGGUGGGUAUCACGUGCUAGACGAAGCAGCUCACGUGACCAGCGAUGUCAGACCCUCGGCUAAACAGUUAGCCAAGCCACCUAUUGGUUUAUUGGAAGUGGGUAUCCGUGGAGCUACUAAUUUACUUCCGGUGAAAACUAGAGAUGGUACACGAGGCACCACCGAUGCAUACGUGGUUGCUAAAUAUGGACCGAAAUGGAUUCGGACCCGUACGAUCCUAGACCGGUUUAAUCCGCGGUGGAACGAGCAGUACACAUGGGAUGUUUAUGAUCCGUGCACGGUCCUCACCAUUGGAGUUUUCGACAACGGACGGUACAAGCGGGACGAAUCCGGGAAGCAAGGGAGAGACGUAAGGGUCGGGAAAAUCCGUGUACGCCUCUCGACUCUCGACAUGAACCGAAUCUACCUAAAUUCCUACACCAUAACCGUGAUCUUACCAAGCGGAGCCAAGAAAAUGGGAGAAGUUGAAAUUGCGGUUCGAUUCUCUUGUCCAUCUUGGCUAAGCAUUAUUCAAGCCUAUGUCACACCAAUGCUACCUAGGAUGCACUACGUCCGUCCGCUUGGUCCAGCUCAACAAGAUAUUUUGCGUCACACGGCUAUGCGUAUCGUGACAGCCCGGCUUGCGCGGUCUGAGCCUCCAUUAGGUCAAGAGGUGGUUCAAUACAUGCUAGACACGGACAAUCAUGUGUGGAGCAUGAGGAGAAGCAAAGCUAAUUGGUUCCGUGUUAUCACGUUCUUGUCACGUGCCGCAACUAUAGCCCGUUGGGUUCACGGAAUUCGAACUUGGGUUCACCCACCAACAACCGUUCUAGUUCACUUGCUUCUCGUGGCCAUCGUCUUGUGUCCACAUUUAGUCCUCCCAACCGUUUUCAUGUAUGCGUUCUUGAUCUUAGCCUUAAGAUUCCGUUACCGUGGCAGAGUCAAAGUCAACAGCGUUGACCCACGACUAUCUUGCGUUGACUCCGUUGCUCCCGACGAGCUUGAUGAAGAGUUUGAUGGUUUCCCAACAACGAGACCACCGGAGGUCGUUCGUAUAAGGUAUGACCGGUUAAGGGCAUUGGCCGGUCGGGCACAGACUUUAUUAGGUGACGUGGCGGCUCAAGGGGAGCGUGUUGAGGCGUUGUUCAACUGGAGAGACCCACGCGCCACGUGUAUAUUCGUGGUGUUCUGUCUUUUCGCGUCGUUUUUGUUCUACAUCGUUCCGUUUAAAGUUUUCGUUUUGGGGUCAGGUUUUUACUACAUUCGACAUCCGAGGUUUAGAGACGAUAUGCCUUCCGUUCCGGUCAACUUUUUCCGGCGACUUCCUUCAAUGUCAGAUCAGAUUCUGUGAUUCGGAAAAAGUGUUCUAAUAAUGUGUUUUUUUUUUUGUUGGUUUAUCUAUUUUGAGUCAUGUAAUCGUCUGAAAUUCAAUUAUUUUAUUUUUCAAUAUAUGUUAGUUACUUUUUAGUUAAAGUAAAGCUUCUUAAAUUGAAGAGGUGGGUCCGUGGGUGGACCUUAAGAUGUAAACUCACCAAUAGGUGGAGGAAAUUAGACCGUUAUUGCUUUGUGGGGACAAAUAUUUAAUUAGAAAACGUAAAUAAGUUUGCAUUAAAAAACAAUACGAACAAAAAUUCGUACAGAAUCGUGGUUUUUAGGUGACGAAGUUGGUGUAUAUGACCGUUGCAGCCUAGCAGGAGCGUUGCUCUAAGCCACACAAGAAAGGAAAAAUAUUUAUUGCGUUGCCAAAAAGCUAUUUAACCGGUCUCACCGGACACCGCCAGAUUAUUAGAUCAAUAAUCCAUAUUAUUCAAAAAUGCUGCAUGACCAACAAAAUAAAUAAAAGCAAAGCUCUUCAGUUAGCCCAGAGAAAAAGCAUGUAUAUUAUACGCUUGUAAUUGAAAUAUGCGCUUUUCAUAGAGAUUAAAUUGGGGGAAAAGCUUGAUAACAUGGAAAAUCACAAUCUAGCCCACCAGACAUUCUAAACAUUCUAAUGACUUUGAUUGAAGUCCAAAGCCAAACCAACCCAACACUUAAUCUAAAUUCUUCGUUAUUCCAUUCCCUUAUGAAUCACUAAAGACCAAACACCAACCCCAAAAAAAAUCAAGAAAGAAUAAGAUCAAAAGUAUCUCCAUAUAGAGUUGUGUAACUCACACUUCCUAUCUACAUUGCCUAUUGACAAAGUUUCUUCUCAACAAAAGCCUCAUUAGUAAACUCUUUAACCUCCUAGCCCCCGGACCAGGACCAAGAUCUGGUUUCGACCCACGUUUCCGUGUUCUUCUCAGAAUCUCCCGGUCUAUCCUAUUGAGAACGGGAUCAUUGCUCUUGAACUUCCUUGCGAAUGGUCGGUUGCUCAUUACCAUCUUUCUGUAAUCCCUGGUCCCUAAAAUCUUUGGGUGCUGCUUCGGCGGAUUGUCCCACGCGAUGUAGUGGAGGUCAUGGUUCACGGUCGUGCUCUUGAACUCAUCCGAGUUGCAUAUAAGUGUCUGAAAAUAGCCUUCCGGGGAUGAAACAAAGUUUGUGUAGUAGAGAAGGAGUGUUCUUGGUAAGUUAUCAUAACCUAUUAUACAAUAUUCUGAGAACGGUCUCGAUAGGAAUGUCCAAGCAGAACCUGAAAUAUUUUACAUGUUCAUAACAAUUUUCUUCAUUUUGGUAACUAAAUAAAAAGAUAUUUUACCUUAGUAACCUUCUAAAGAUUAUCUUUUCGUUUGUCAAUUCUAAAAACAAUAUUUUAUGCCCCCAAAUUAUAUAUUAGGGUUCAUGUCUCACUCAACUCAAAUCAAUCCUCAGACGCAACAACUUUCUAAUCUUAAGGAAUGUAUAUAAAAAAAUCAAAGAAGACAUUUUCCUAGUUUUUUUGUUGGAAAAUAACUUUUACUAGUUAUACACUUACAUAUAUGCACUAUCUAAUGCGAGGAUCCAAAUAUUGGUUGGUACCUGUGAAGAGCUUGAAAGAAGUAGGGAGGCUUCGCUGAUUACUAACCCACCAUAUCUCUGAUUUGUUGAGGCUAUAUAGUCCUGGAUCUAUUAUUAUUGGUUUCCCUCUUUUGUUCCUGCACAUUUUAUCAUACUAAUAUCAAUUACAUAUUUUUUGUUUGUUACGAAACCUAUAACCACUUGUUCUUCAGAUAGUUCAAAUAUUUCUUAGUGUUUCACUAAUUCUGUCUUUUUCCUUUAAUAGUAUAGAUUAUAGAAUAGUUAAUUUCGAUGAACAAAAUAGUAAGAAAAGAGAAAGAAAAAAAGAGAGUAAACCUUACAUUUUCCAUCCUAAUCGGCUUGUGUGCUGUAUGAAGUUGAGAUCUCUAGGCAACUCAGAAAAUGCAUAGAUCAGAUCUGCAUUUAUUUUAUAAAAUUUUAAAUUUAACAAAAGAAUUACAUCACCAUAUCCAUAAGUAUAAGCACACACCAUUAUCAGUCAUAAAGAAUUAAUAGAUAACCGGUUGUUAUCACCAAGAUCAACGUCUAACCGAUCCUAACCAGUGCAUUCAUGUAUCACGAACUAAUCCUAACCAUUGCAUUAAUUGUGAUCAUAAUUCCAGAAUCCAAUUUCAAGUGUAAAAUUUAUGAAUCAUCAUUACCAGAGGAAAAUAAUUUAUAGGCUUAAGUCACUUAACUUAAAAUGUAUAACCGGCUAUAUAUUGUGAAGACAAUCAAGGCAAAAAUCGAUCCUAACCGGUUCAUACAUAUAUAUCACCUAGAUCCAAUCCUAAUCAGCUAAUCCAAAAACUUUCUAAAUAAAGAUGUGAAAUUUAUUAAACCAUAAUCAUCAAUCUAAAACCAAAUAAGAAAUAUUGAUAAUCAACUAAUUUUUUAGUUAAUCACUCACCGUACCGUCUUGUGUGACGAGAGGAUAAUCAGAAGCACUAAGAUUGAUGAACCAAUCCCACCGACAACAUCUCAAGAGCAAAGCCAUUGCGUGUAGCGUCGUCGCAAGCAUCGUUGGUCCUCUAUAAGUCACCAGAUUCGGUUUUCCGACGAUCAUUACAUUACCUUCCGGCUGAAACAGAGGUUCUCCGGCUACAAACCUGGCCAUCUCCAAAUGCUCUUCCUCGGGCGCCUCCAAGUCUAGAUGGAUCAAAUAGUGGUUUCUGCGGUGGUAGAGAGAUUGGAGGAGGCGUUUGAGUUUUCCGGCGUCGCCUUUGGAGGCAGAGAUUAGGUAAGCAAAACAGGGGAGGGUAGAGUUGUGGUUUUGGUUGGAUUCGAGGGGUAAAGUAGGGAUUUUUGAGGAAGUGAAUAGAGUUUUAGUUGUGGGGAUGAUGUAGAGAAGAGAGAAGAGGAGUGAAGUUAGACAGAAGGAGAUCAUCAACAGUUUCUUUAUCGCCAUUUUUGUCUCUCUGUAAAUUUUCUUCGAAUCUCUUUAGAGGAGAGAGAGAGAGUUUGUGGUUUAGUGAUGGAUAGUUUGUAGAAUAACAAAGAUGCCCCUUUAUUUUUAUAUUUGUAUGUUAUUGCCCCAGAAUAGUCUGAAAUAAGUACAAACCCCUUAGCCAAUUUUAAUAAACGUGCUUAUCUGCUUAUAAAUUCUAUAGUGAAAUUAAAAGUUUCAUACUCAAAAAUAUUCAUAAUCAAAGUUGUUUGUUAUAACAUUGGCACCAACAGAUAUGGUAUGGUACCAAUAUUUGAAAGAUUGAUUGUUACCAAACUUGACAUAAAGAUUGAUCAACAAACAAAUUAAAGAAAAAAUUAACAAAAGAAAACAAACUAAGGAAAUAUCUUAAUUUUGAGUGUGUGUUAAAUUUAGUAGUAUCCACUAAACAAAAAUUUUAACCGAAUUUUAUUUUUUUCAAUGAAAUUUGAUUUUGACGUUUAAAAGACAAAUAAGAGAAAUCUGAUUUUUUUUUUUUUUUUGGGCAAAAGAGAAAUCUGAUUUUAAAUCUAAUUUUUGACGUUUAAAGGACACAUAAGACAGAUGAAAAUUAAAUCCAUUACCCAAAAUAAAUAAAAAGCUGUGUUUACUAAACAUUGUAAAAAUUGUUUUGGAAAGAGAUAAAUAUAGAAGGGAAAGAAAUAGAAUGAUUAUGAAGUACAGACAAAUCUAACUGAGAGUAAAAAGGCUGUAAGAUUGUGGGUUCCUUGCUUUCAAGCAAAGUCCUCCAUCUGUCCUAUCUCUCACAUUCUUCCACAUGCUUUUAGAUCUUCCAACUGCAACUCACGUGCGAAGUUAAUUUUACUUUAUUACCCUUACCUAGCGGGUAAGAUCUUGGAAUUUAGCAGGAUCCAUUUGUAAAUUACAAAGAGCAGAUUAAUUAAUGGAAGUGGUUGGCCGAAUUUGGUGGAUGAUAUCAAAAUAUACGUCCGAUGAUACAUACAAACAUGUUUUUGGUUCUUAGAUUUUUAAUUAAUAUACCUUUAAGAGAUUGAAGUAAUUUUAUUUUGCUGUCAAAAAAAAAAAAGAGAUUGAAGUAUUAAUCUACAAAGGUGUAAGAUUGGUUCAUAUAUAUAAUUAGAUUUAAAACAACGAACCCAAUUUGAUUUACUUCUUUUGUCAGAUCGAAUUAUUUGGAUUUUGGAACAACUUUUGGUUUAACGCAGGUUGAUUUAACUUGUUUCUAGAGUCCGAUAGAGGCCCAUAAAGGCCUAUGUACUUUCUCGAACUGGACCUUGUCAAAAUACUAACAUAAGCAACUAUUUUGAUAGGAGUGGGCAAAUAAAUCGAAUCGAAACCGAAGAAAAAAAAUCGAACUGAACCGAACCGAAAAUUUGAAAAUAACCGAAUGGAUAUUAAAUUUUAUAACCGAAAUAACCGUAACCGAAUCGGUACUGAACCGAAAUAUUUCGGGUAACCGAAAUACCCGAAAUACAAUAAUAUUUUCAAAAUAAUUAGUUAUUUAUGGAACAAAUAAUCAAAAAUACUUAAAAAAUAUAUAAAAAUAGUAAAAAUACUCGAAAAUAAUCGAAAUAUAUCCAAAAAUAUCCGAAAAUACUCAAAAAUAACUGAAAUAUCCGAAAAUAUCCUAAGCAAAAUAACCGAAUGGAUACUAAAUUUUAAAACCGAAAGAACCGGAACCGAACCGAAACCGAACCAAAAUUUCAAAAUAUCCGAAUAAAUACUAAAUUUUAAAACCGAAAAAACCGAAACCGAAUGGACCCAACCGAUAACCGAAUGGUUAACCGAAAGGCCUAUAUUUUGAGAUGCCUUUCAUAUUAUUUUAUUUUAGUAGAGAGUUUCAUAGAGAGCCACAUCAUAAAUCAUAACGUGUCGAUGUCGAUUUCCAUUUAAUAAUUUGGUGAUAGAGUAUCAUUUGGGUACUAGUUUCUUUUUUUUUUUUUUUUUGGUAAGAAAAGAAAGUACAUCUAUUUAAUAUAAUAAGACUAUAUAGUUUUGAUAUAAUAUCUUCUGUCAUCUUGAGAAAUUUAGUUUUCACAUGCUUUAUUUUAUAUGGCCAUAUCAAAGUGAACCGUAAUCACAUUUAUCUACGAAUAAUAAAUUACACAAUAUAAGACAUUUUCUUAAUCCAAAUGCCAUUGCUUGUUGACUGUCCAAAGUUAUACAAUAUACCAGCGUUUCCAUUUCUUCUUAUCUCCGCAUCACCAAAAGAUUGCAAGGUGAUAAAUGUAAAGUAGACCAGCGCAUAACAUUCUCAGUUUCUAAAAAAGACAGUAAAACAUCAUAAGAACAAAAGCUUAUUUAUGAUUACAUGUAUGUCCAAAAAUGAAGGGAUCAGAAAAAAAAUUCACGUUCUAACGAAAGUUAGUUCAUGACAAUAACAUCUCGAUGAUUGUAUGUAACCAUCGUGGUACACAAUAGCAAUACAUUCUACAGAAUACAGUGCUAUACUGUAUUUUGGAAUCGAAAUUCAUAACAUCAUCUAUCUUAGAUAUGGAAAAUAAAAUUAAAGUUCACUCAUAAUUAUUGUCAAAAUGUGGAAUGUUUGAGUUGGUAACUACUACGAAGUCCACUUUACCUAAUUUGUCUUUUUGGUUUAGGUAUUGAUUUGUAUGCUUUCGAGUACAGGAGUAAGCAAUCCAUCCCGACCAACCUCACCUUCAAAAUUUCUAUUUUCUCUACCAAUAAAAUCAAUAUUUUUAGUUUUUCUUUCUUUCUUCAUUUAAGAAACAAAAAAAGUUGUCAGCAAAUUAACAACACAAUAACACAUAGUUAUAAAUAAAGUUGACAAUUAAUUCCAGUGGUAAGACCACAUAAUCUAUAUAUCUUUUUUAUUUUAAUUGACUUUUCACAACGGCUACAAAUAUAUGGAAAAUAUUUGUGAUUUGUUCCGAAAUUUAUUAGUCAUAAAAAUUGAAAAAAAAAAAAAAAAGACAGAAAUACUCACAGUAAACCCGUGGAUGAAAAAAAAAAACCCGUGGAUGAUAUUAUUAAAUUUGGAUACUUAUCCUCUCACGCCAAAAGGUAACAACAAAAGGCAUAAAGGAAAGAAGUGAACAAACGUAUUUAGUUUGUGUACUCGUUUUCUGCUUUUUCCUUGACACAUCUUAAUUUAAUAUUUAGUUUAUUUGCUACAAAUGACUUAAACUUUCACUUUAUAGUUUCACUCCGUAAGGACCGUAACUAUAAUCAAUUAGAGAAAGGAAGUUGACAACAAAAAUUAAUUAACAUAUGGAUAAGAUUUUUUUCUGUUCAGAUGUUGCUGUUUUUUUUCUUCAAAUAUUAAAUUUUUAAUUUAAUGCUUUUCAUGUCUCCAUCUCAUCAAUCAUCAAAUGCACAAAUAAAUAAACCAAUUGUAAGUUCAUGGGAAGGUUCAAAGUUACCACCAUUUGCCAUGUCACCAAACACCUCCACAAAAUCAUACUUGGAUUGGAACCAAGAAAGUUGAGAGAGACAAUAGUGCAUGGAAUCUAGAACGUAUUUUAUAUCUCAAGACAAAAAAUUUAUAAAAAUCGGCUUUUCAAAAAAAUAAUAAUAAGUAUAUUUUUAUUAAAUAAGAUACAUUUUAUUCAGAUCAACUCAUUACAUUUGAUUACUCUAAACUCUUAAACUUUGAUUUCUCUACUAAAAUAUUUUGAAGUAAGCUUUAAUACGGGGAUGAGUAGGUAGCCAAGAUAAACCUACAUGUAUCUUUACUACCAAAAUAUAAACCUAACAAAAAAAAGAACAAUUUAAUGAGUUUGGAAAACGUAUUUCCAUGAUUCGUGGAGUACGAAGACCAAAUGAAAGAUUUAUAAUUUAAUUGUUUAUAAAUAUGAAUAGACUAAUUUCGUGGGGGAUCAUGUAAUGAGGAAACUUUAGAGUAAAAAAGUCAAAACAACAAUAAGUGAAGGUUUAGUUUAAAGAUGGAGUAAGUCAAAGUAAUGGAAUAAAGUAUGUAUAUUAAAUAUUCGAUAUUAAUUUUAAUAAACCAUAAAAAAAAUGAUCGAGCUUAUUGACAAAGAUGUAUGUAUAUACAUAUAUACAGAAGAAUGAUGAUUGAUGAAAAUGGUUAAGUGGAACUUGGGUUUCAAGGAACACUCCUGGCAAAAUACAACGCAUCUAUGCCUAUACCAACAAGCAACGGUCAUGCCUCUCGCGUGCAGAUUCAAGAAUCGAGAACAAUGUCUCCUCUUCCUCCUUCUUCUUCUCCAAUCGCCUUCAAGGUAUUUCUCUCUUUUGAAUCAAGAAUCAGGAAACUCCUUUCUUGAUCUCUGUAUCUUCUCCAUCUCUCUCUCUCUCUGGUUCUGUUUUGCUUUCUACUUUAUGCUCUCUGUUUUUAUCCUUUCUCGUUGACUUUCAUCACUAAUUCUUGACUCAUCAAGAACAAAACCAAGACCCAGCUUCUCUUUUGUCUCUUCUUGUUUCUUCAUGGUGCUUUUUUACUUGCAUGUUCACAUCGAAUUCACAUUAAUCAGCCUUGAAUUACCCGUUGAUGAGAUACCAUUUUUUUUUUUUGUUUUUGGCAGGAACAACAGGGAAGACCACCUCCCACAACACAACAAACAUUAGCCGGAAAAUUCUUUAGAAAUCUCUUCAAGGGUCUUCUCUUCUCACAAUUAACCUUAAUCUCGCUUUUGGUGAUCGUUCUCACCAUUCGCGGUCUCAUCUCAGCAAGUACACACCAUUUCCACCCCAAGAAAUGGUACCCUCCUUUACUAGCAUCUGUUGCUGUCUCAGGAGUUGCAUCUUUAGCCUGGCAAUGCAUCAUUAUAUACAAUCCAUCUAGAGCAGUCAAAGCAACUUUCUGGCUUAGCCCAAUACUCACUUGCUCAGUAGGGAUCUUGCUUGUUUUGAUUGGCUCAGCGGUAGAUGCAGGGAUUGGUGCAGUAUUUGUGCUUUUCGCCAUUACUCAGUCUCUGUAUGGUUGCUGGAUCACUCCGAGGUUUGAAUACACCGAUAAGUUACUAUCCCUUGCUACAGCAUUUCCACCUGCAAGAACCAGAGAAGUAGUCUGUUUAUCAAUCAUAGUUAGCGUCGUUUACUCUGGUUUCUUGGUGACUGGAAUUGGAGGAGCAACUUCCACUAGAACAAAUCUAGAUCUCUUGUUCAUAUCCGUAAUCAUGAUAAGCUUAGCAUGGACGAUGCAAGUUCUCAAGAAUGUACAACAAGUUGCGAUUUCACGGGCGAGAUAUGUAAACUUUGCACAUGGAGAAGAUAUGGACGCUUGGAAUGCUUUUCGCAUCACUUUGAAACACCUGACUGGGAGCAUCUGCAUUGGCUCGACGCUUGUUCCAAUCAUCGUGUUCAUCAGAGGAUCGAUAAGAAGCGUUAAUCUAAUGUCAGGGAGCAGUGAUGAGGUCAUGUAUACCGGUGCUGAUUGCUACUCUACCAUUGCUAACAAACUCAUAACACUUGGAAACAGAUGGGGCUUUGUACAUGUUGGAACCUAUGAUAAAGGCUUUGUGGAGGCUUCGAGUGAUACUUGGAAGAAGUUCAGAAGUACAACUGGAUUAGAGAAACUGAUUGACUCGGAUCUCACUAGCUCCUUCUGCUUCCUCAGUGCGGUUUCUGUUGGAGCGGUCUCUUCAUUAACUGCUGGAAUAUGGAUGUUGUUAAUACACAAGGACUAUGCCCUGGAAGUGUCUCUCUAUGCUUUCAUAAUUGGAUAUUUCGUGGUAAGAUAACAAACUCUAUGGACAUUAGCCGUAAAAACAUAAAGAAGACUUAGACAAAGUGGCUUAUGUUGUGUACCUUUUCAGGGAAGGGUAGGUUUGGCGUGGCUACAGGCAUGUGUCUUGGCUUACUAUGUAGCUUAUUCUGAAGAUCCUCAAAGCAUGAGGUUUGACGGUACAAUUCCAAAUCGUAUUCAACGUCUUCAAAUGUUAAGUGCUCACAGAGAUAACAGGGAGCUUGAGGUGGGUAGAGAGAGAGAAGAAGAUAGUUAUAAUAAUUGUUAAGCCUUGAGGAGACUGGCCACCAAACAUGUAAAGAAAAACAAGGAUUAGUACUUUCUUCCAACUUAUAGAUUCUUCUAUUGAUAGGCAAAAAUCUUAUUAGCUUCAAUGUGUUCAUAUGUAAUUGCCAAAACUCCAACCAAAGAAAGAAUGUACAUACUUUUUCUAUCAACUUAAUUAGCAACAAGUACUUCGCCAUAUACAGUGGGACUUAAGGUGACUGUAAUUUUCAACACUUAGAAAUCUUGAGUUUUAGUAUACUACCAAUUAAAGCAAAAUAGAACUAAAUUUGUUCCAUAUGUGACAGAGGUAUACUAGUGAUUGUAAUCACAGUCAUAAUCAACAUUAUGCACAAGUACAUUGCAAAUAUACAUUUGGAAUCGAAUAGUCGUUAUGGGAAUCCGCCGCAGAUUAUGGAGAAGAAUUUUGAGUUCGUCGGAGAGAGCUUUGAUUGAAGAAAUCAGCCGAUCAGACAAAAGUUUCGGAGGAGAUCUCGAACAGGAACAAGUUUCUGUCAGCUCCGGCGGUGCGGUUUACAUGGUAUUGAAAUUAGAAUUGAUUUUGGGUUCGGUUUACACUGGUUACGAGAAGAAAACAAAAUAAUAUUCACGCGAUGGAAAUUUUGGAGACAAGUGCGUUGAUUCAAAUAGGCAUGAUUUCACCCCUUCAGGAAUUGCUCUCACUCGCGCAACGCGCACUUGGUGCGAGUGGUUUCGAAAUACAGCCUUCUGAUUGGCUGAAAAACUCUAAAAAAAGUGAAAUAGUAUACAUGUUGCUAGCUCUUGUUUCCAGUUUAAUUCUACAAAACGCGUCGUUUCGUAUCUCGGUCGUAACUUUUAAACUAGUACAGUCUAAAACUCAAACCAGUUUUAGCUUUUGGCAUUGAGCCGAACCAAUCGGUUCAACUGGCUAUUCUAUCCACAGGUUCGUAUAAAAAUCUCAUUUGGUCACGAAAUUAAGCAGUAAAUUUCAAUUUAUUAAUCAUAAGUUAAUGUUUACAGACAAAUUAUAUUCCAAAUUUCUUACGAAUCAGACCUUAUUGUCCGGAAUAAAUUAUUGGUUCUGAAAAUAUCAAUUGGGAAAUUAAAAACCGGUUCAAUUCGAAACCGGAAACAAGACUAGCUACGCCUGAAAACGCACACAGUCACAGGAGACGCUCCCGCGUCUGCAAAGAAUCGGAUAAAGUCUCUCUCUUUCUCACUCUCUCUCUCUCUCUCUCUCAAAGAAGAAGAAGAAGAUGCUGACGAGUCCCAGUAACGCACUUCACAGUAGUACUCCACACUUCUGGCCAGUUCGCCGGAGCAGGCUUUGCCGUUCCCGGAAUUUCCCUCGUUUUCACUCCGGCGAACGCAGCAGCGGCGGAGGAGGAAAAUUGUGCCCGCUCUCUCUUCUCUCCGCAAGUGGCGCCAGUAAAUUCAGUGUCAGGGCUCUAGUUAGACCAGAUGUUACCGAAGACGCUGACUCCGUCGGCGAUGGGUCACUGGCUUUUCCUAACCACGUUUCUGUCAAAAUUCCUUUCGGAAAUAGAGAGGUAUUUUCUUCUAAAAGCUAUAAAACCAAUGUGUUCAUCUGUUGAAGAUUGAUUCGGAGAUGAUUGCUUUUGUAAAGUGAUAGAAUUGGUUUAGUUAAUGACCAUGUUUUGCGCAAAUUUGAGACCCUUAACUUUAUAGUAGAGAAGCUCAAAGCAGUAAAGCACUCUGCUUUAGAUGUAUGUGUUGAACUUUGUUAGUUUCUUUUUCUUCUGUAUAGAUUUUAGUAGAGACUGGUCUUAUGGGGAGACAAGCAAGCUCUGCUGUAACAGUGACAGAUGGAGAAACUGUAAGUGUGCUUCAUCUUCAAUUAGAUUCUUCUGCAAACUGUAUGUGGUGGGUGUUUCACAUCUAAUUAUUAAUCUGUCCUACUUGUCAUUGUAGAUUGUCUACACAUCUGUUUGUCUAGCUGAUGUUCCAAGUGAGCCAUCAGAUUUUCUUCCGCUUUAUGUUCACUAUCAGGAGCGAUUCUCAGCUGUAGGUCGAACUAGGUAAGUGUUUUUCAAUCCUUUGCUAUUUUGGAAUCUGUUGCUACAUGUUUACUAGAUCAUAGCCUAAAUGAUGAUCUGAAUGGAACUUCUUGUGGUAUAGUGGUGGAUUUUUUAAGCGAGAAGGAAGAACCAAAGAUCACGAGGUAUUUACUCAUGCAGUCAUGCUAAAUGGUGUUUGGUCUCUUCUUUUUCUUCAUCCUUCCUAACAUGUUUCUACUUUUGGUGUUUAUGCAGGUUCUGAUUUGUAGGUUGAUCGAUAGACCUCUACGCCCCACUAUGCCCAAAGGUUUCUACAAUGAAACUCAGAUAUUAUCCUGGGUAUUGUCCUUCUCCAUGGAUUUCUUUAUGAUCAUAUAGGCCUUUUAUCUUUAACUAUUUAAGUAGUUUUGGAUGGGGGUUUUGGGGAAGUACGGAUUGUUUUCAUUCAAUGCCUUCCCCUAUAUGUUGGUCUUUGCUCAUGACAAAUCGAGGUUUUCUUUGUCUGUUUUGCCUCUUUUGGGUUGAAACAAAAUACCUUUUGACAUACGCUUUAUUUUGUCUCUGUAUGAUGGCAUUUCUUCCUUUGUGUGCCUACUACAUUUUUCAUAAAAAUGACUUACAAUUUUUUAGUAACUUAAACAUGUAUGAGAUGAUUGUAUUCAUCUCCUUGAUUUGGGUCUUAUUCGUAACUGAACUGUUGCUUGUGGUUUCAGGUUUUGAGCUAUGAUGGAUUACACGCACCUGAUGCUUUAGCUGUUACAUCUGCUGGAAUUGCUGUGUAUGUAGGGUCAUUUUGUUUCCGUUUUUAUAUGAGUGAAGCUUUUUUUAUCUUGGAGACAUUGACAUGGCUUUAUAAUGAAUGAAUACCGCAGAGCUCUUUCAGAAGUACCAAAUGCGAAAGCGAUUGCAGGAGUUCGGGUUGGUCUAAUUGGGGGCGAAUUCAUCGUCAAUCCAACCGUGAAGGAGAUGGAAGAGUCACAGCUAGAUUUGUUUCUAGCUGGAACAGAUACAGCAAUAUUAACGAUAGAGGUCAACUCUAAUCUUUACUUGAGUUUGCAAGAUUUGCACUUUUCCUCUUGUUCUGUUUUUAUCUUGACUCAGUCUUUGCUCAUUGCAAAUAUCUGGGACUGCAGGGAUACAGUAAUUUUCUUCCUGAGGAAAUGCUGCUCGAAGCUGUUAAAGUUGGACAGGUAUUUCAAAUUUUUUAUUGGGAUUAUUUCAAUUUUUAAAAGUCUGGAUUAGGUACUAAAUGUGAGGCUUUUUCAAAUUUUACCAGGAUGCUGUACAGGCUACAUGCAUCGCUAUUGAAGUUUUAGCAAAGAAAUAUGGAAAGCCCAAAAUGCUUGACGCUAUCAGAUUACCACCUCCAGAGCUAUACAAGCAUGUGAAAGUAUGUUAUAUACACCUUGCUUCUGUUUUGUUUUGCCAGAAUGGAAUUGCAAUGCUAUUAUAUUGUAAAUCAUGUGUCAAAUUAAUUGCUUUAUGUACACAGGAACUUGCUGGUGAGGAAUUGACCAAAGCGCUACAAAUUAAGAGCAAAAUAUCGAGAAGGAAAGCCAUAUCGUCCCUGGAAGAAAAGGUCUUGACAAUACUGACAGAGAAGGGGUAUGUUAUUGAUGAGGUUGCAUUUGGAACCAUAGAAGCACAACCUGAUCUGUUGGAGGAUGAAGACGAGGAUGAGGAAGUUGUUCCUGAAGGGGAGGUGGACCAAGGCGAUGUACACAUUAGGCCCAUCCCUCGGAAACCUAUUCCUUUAGUGAGUCUCUUAACCUUCUCUACUUGGUAACCUGAAAUUGACUUUUUUCUCUCAUGUUCUUUUUUUUUGAUGGAAUGUUAACAAACUAGUCACUGCCCUUGUCUAGCUAUUUUCUGAAGUAGAUGUCAAGCUGGUCUUCAAAGAAGUAUCGUCAAAGCUCCUACGGAGGCGAAUUGUUGAGGUACAAGAUCUGAUUGCCUGUCAUUUCUAGCCUAAACGUUUAUGUUGAUAGGAUCUAUUUUCUCAUUGAAGCAUUUUAUUAACUACACUACAAUAAAGAAUCAUGCUUAGCAUGUUAAAAGCGACACAUCUUUCAUAUUGUCUCCUAGUAAUUCUCUCCUAAAUUUUCAAUUUUGUUUUCACUUUUCGGAACAAGUUUUAUUGAUUCCAUAUCACUUAUUUCUCCAUCCGCAGGGAGGUAAAAGAAGUGAUGGUCGGACUCUGGAUGAGAUUCGUCCAAUUAACUCAAGAUGUGGACUGCUUCCAAGGGCACAUGGAAGUACUCUUUUCACACGUGGUGAAACACAGGUAACAGAGGAAUGUUGUCUUCUGGGGAAAUCCUGCGUGGUUUUUUCACAUGUGGAUCCUUAGUCUUAUCGCCUUUUAUGUAUUUUAAGGAAAUUGGUUCGGUUAAGGAAAUAUUAUUGUAUGAUUCUUUCAGGCACUGGCAGUUGUUACACUUGGUGAUAAACAAAUGGCGCAGAGAAUUGACAACCUUGAGGGUUCUGAUGAAUACAAGAGGUUCUAUCUUCAGGUCUCUUCAAUAUUUGUUUUUCUUCCCACUCUGUUAUUAUUAUUUACAAUUGACUUUUUAUUAGAUAAAGUAAAUUUUUUGCUUCUGUUAGAUGCACUUUAAUAACUAUUUCAAAAUAGUUCAAUGCUUAGUGUCUUCUUUCAUUUUUCUUGUUGAGCUUAAAGAGAUUUUCUAAACUACUCAUUGUGAUGUUUCAGUACACGUUUCCUCCAUCGUCUGUUGGUGAAGUUGGACGAAUUGGUGCACCCAGUCGAAGAGAAAUAGGUCAUGGCACACUAGCAGAGCGAGCAUUGGAGACCAUUCUACCUAGUGAUGAUGACUUUCCUUACACAAUACGCGUUGAAAGUACAGUAAUUGAAAGCAAUGGUUCUUCAAGGUCAGCUUUUUCUUUGGCUGUAUGAUCUGCACGUGCCAAGUUUGUUUGAAUGAUAAAUUUUGUACUUGCUUCUUAUGUUGAUCAUAAAAUGUGACAGUAUGGCAUCUGUUUGCGGCGGUUGCUUGGCUUUGCAAGAUGCCGGAGUUCCAGUUAAAUGUUCUGUUGCUGGGAUAGCAAUGGGAAUGGUUUGGGAUACUGAAGAAUUUGGCGGUGAUGGAUCUCCCCUUAUCCUUUCUGAUAUCACUGGAGCUGAAGAUGCAUCUGGUGAUAUGGACUUUAAGGUCAGAAAACAUAAGGAUUCCCUUGAAGGACCUUGCAUUGACUUGAAUGCUGAAGUUUUGAUUUGUUUUUCAAUAGGUUGCUGGGAAUGAAGAUGGUGUUACCGCCUUUCAGAUGGACAUUAAGGUCAUCAUCCGUUUCUUAGUUUACACUGCCGAAAUGGUUUUAAAUGGCAAUUGAUAAAUAAAUCUGUUGGUAACAUCUUUUUUUUCUUCUUCUCUUUAAUCAUGAACUAGGUAGGAGGAAUCACUUUAGAGAUAAUGGAAAAGGCUCUGAUACAGGCAAAAGCUGGGCGUCGCCAUAUUCUUGGUAAGGAAUUCAGUAUUAGUCUCAAGACAAUAUACUUGGGGAGAUUUAGUUUCUAGAAAAAUGUAUGCCAUAAAAGAUGUAAUUUACUAUUAUUUUUUUCUUUUUGUGCAGCUGAAAUGGCAAAGUGCUCACCGCCUCCUACAUUAAGCCUCUCAAAAUACGCUCCAUUGAUACAUAUUAUGAAGGUUUGGCUUCAACUAAUUUUUCCAUGAUUGCCCAGUCUAAUAAUGUCUUACUGCCUUGAACUAAAGAGUGUUUGUGUUUCAUUUGCUGCAGGUUCAUCCAAGCAAAGUAUACUCUCUUAUUGGUUCUGGUGGUAAGAAAGUAAAGAGCAUCAUUGAAGAAUCUGGAGUUGAGGCCAUUGAUAUGCAAGAUGAUGGAACUGUGAGAUAUACAUACAUAAAUGUUUUCAUUCUUCUUAAUGUUUUAAUACAUUUAUUUGGUAUUCUUUAUCAUAACCUCUUAAUAUUUAUCUCUGUCAAGGUCAAAAUUAUGGCAAUCGAUGUAGCGAGUCUGGAAAGGGCGAAAGCGAUUAUUAGUGGAUUGACAAUGGUUCCCGCUGUUGGUGAUAUCUACAGGUAUGUAUCCUUCAUAUACCUUCUCUGACCAAGAAGCGUAAAUAGAUUUGGAUUCUGACCUUUCUUUUUGUAUCAGGAAUUGUGAAAUCAAGUCAAUGGCUCCUUAUGGUGCCUUUGUAGAGAUUGCACCUGGGCGGGAAGGUCUUUGCCAUAUCAGUGAGCUGAGUGCUGAAUGGCUUGCAAAACCAGAGGAUGUGAGCAUUACUCAUUGAUUCCAUUCUUUUAUAGAAAUUGUUUCAUCUUUUAUUCAGGUUGUCACAUACGCUCAUUCUUGUCUUUUCAGGCCUAUAAAGUAGGAGACCGCAUUGACGUCAAACUAAUAGAGGUCAGCGAGUUAUUGUGUCUUUAUAACUCAAGAGACGGAAAUGAUAAUUAGAGAGUUGUUGAACAAAGAAACAUGGAUAAUGCAGGUGAAUGAAAAGGGUCAGCUUCGACUUAGUGUACGGGCUUUACUUCCCGAAUCAGAGACAGACAAAGACAGUCAGAAACAACAGCCGGCAGGUGAUUCUACCAAAGACAAGGGUUCGCAAAGGAAAUAUGUAAAUACUUCGUCAAAGGACCGUGCAGCAGCAGGAGCAUCAAAGGUUUCAUCUGGGGAUGAACUUGUCCUGAAGAAGAAAGAUGUAAGGAGAGCAACUGGUGGUAGUAGUGACAAGACAAUGAAAAGCAAUAGCAGUACCAACGAAGAAAGUUUAGUCAACGGUGAAGCUACAAUCAGCUAGUGAAUGCAAACAAGAUCACUGUUCAUAUCUGUUACGAAAGGAGGAGAGUUUCUUCCAACGGAACCACAUGUGCGACUUGAGAAAUCUUGAAAACUUGAGACAAGACAAGUUGCAAAUGUCUUUUCUUGAUAUUUUUUCUAAUGUUUUGUAGUUAUUUUUCUUGGCAGUUUCUUGAAGCUGUGCAUAUAUGUUGGCAAGCCUGGUGUGGAGGAGGAUAACAUUUUUGAAGACGGCAUAUGUUGGGAGAUUAUCAGACAUUUCAUCAGUUCUUUCUGUUGUCUUCUCUCUUGCAAACUCAUUAGUCCGUUUAGGUUACUUGAUAUUUUCAUGUUAUUGACUAAAUUUUAUUUAGAUGAUUUUUCUUCAGCUUUUAAAUGUGUAUGUCUGCAUCUUGCACUCUUUAUUGUCAAAGUUUCCCAAUAUUUGUUAUCUUUCGAGUUAUUAGAUGGACUUGGCAAUUUCAAGAGUUCUAAAGAUCACUUAGCCAAUAUUGGCAAACUAUAUCUGGAAAUGGAAAAGGAAGAAAAAUGAAAUUGACAUUUAAGAGAUACAUUUCGAAUGACUAACAAUGUAUAUGAAAUGUUGUUUUAUGUAUUGACAUGUGUUUAAACUGGUGCCAACUGUUUAGUUCACUUUAGAUGCUCUACUUCAACAACAACAUGUUUAUUUUUUCAGUGAAAUUAACAUGCUUUAUGUUAAAAACAUUUUUUUUAAACAAAUUAGUUUAAGUGUUAAAGUUAUUUUUACAUUAUUUUAAAUUUUAGUGAAAAUCAGUAUUAUAUUAUAAAAAUGAGUUUAAGUGUUAAAUCUAUAUUACGUGAAAACAUGUUAAACUUCGAACACCAAAACUUACGGUCCAACUAAGAACAUGAUGCAUAGGCUCGGUUAGUUUUCGACGUUUUUAAAAUUUAACACUUAAACUAAUAGUGAAAUUAACAUGGUUUUAGUUAAAAGCAUUAUUUUUUAAAAAGUUUAAGAGUUAUAUUUUAGUGAAAAUCAUUAUUAUUUUUUUUUAAAUGAGUUUAAGUGUUAAUCUAUAUUACGUGAAAAUAUUGCCGAACUUCGAACACCAAAGGUUACGGAUCAAUUAAGGACGGGAUGUCUAGGCGCGGUUAGUUUUCGACGUGUUUAAAAUUUAACACUCAAACUAAUUUUUAAAAAGUUUUAGUGAAAUUGACAUGGUUUUAUUUUUAAAAACAUUAUUUUCUUAAAGUUUAAGUAUUAAAUUUGUUUUAAAUUUUAGCCAAAAUCACUAUUAUUUUUUUUAAAUGAGUUUAAGUGUUAAAUCUAUAUUACGUGAAAACAUUGCCGAACUUCGAACACCAAAGCUUACGGACCAGUUAAGGACGUGAUGCCUAGGCGCGGUUAGUUUUCGACGUGUUUAAAAUUUAACACUUAAACUAAUUUUUUAAAAAGUUUUAGUGAAAUUGACAUGGUUUUAGUUUUAAAAAACUUAUUUUCUUAAAGCUUAAGUGUUAAAUUUAUUAUAAAUUUUAGCCAAAAUCACUAUUAUUUUUUAAAAAUGAGUUUAAGUGUUAAAUCUAUAUUACGUGAAAACAUUGCCGAACUUCGAACACCAAAGCUUACGGACCAACUAAGGACAGGAUGCCUAGGCGCGGUUAGUUUUCGACGUUUUUAAAAUUUAACACUUAAACUAACAUUUAAAAAAUAAUAGUAAAAUUAGUUUAAGUGUUAAAUUUGUUUUAAAUUUUAGUCAAAAACACAAUUAUUUUUUAAAAAUGAGUUUAAGUGUUAAAUCUAUAUUACGUGAAAACAUUGCCGAACUUAGAACACCAAAAGCUUACGGACCAAUUAAGGACGGGAUGCCUAGGCGCGGUUAGUUUUCGACGUGUUUAAAAUUUAACACUUAAACUAAUUUUUAAAAAGUUUUAGUGAAAUUGACAUGGUUUUAGUUUUAAAAAAACUUAUUCUUUAAGUUUAAGUGUUAAAUUUAUUAUAAAUUUUAGUCAAAAUCACUAUUAUUUUUUAAAAAUGAGUUUAAGUGUUAAAUCUAUAUUACGUGAAAACAUUGCCGAACUUCGAACACCAAAGCUUACGGACCAACUAAGGACAGGAUGCCUAGGCGCGGUUAGUUUUCGACGUUUUUAAAAUUUAACACUUAAACUAACUUUCAAAAAAUAAUAGUAAAAUUAACAUAGUUUUAGUUAAAAGUUUUAAGUGUUAAAUUUGUUUUAAAUUUUAGUAAAAUUUUUAUAGUUUAAGUGAAAAAAUUAUUAUUUUAAAAUGAUUUAGUUUAACUAACACUUAAUUUUUAUAAACUAAUUAAAUAUUUAAACUAAUAUUAAAGAAAAAUAAAAGGAAACAAAAACAAAAAUAAGAAUGAAGAAAGGAAUACCUGGUUGGAUUUGGUAGCAAAGAAGGCCCGACACGAAAAAGCCAUUCUAAAGUCAGAUUUGAGCCCAUCGUUCUUCGGUGACAUCCAUGUGAAUAACCCGUUUAAUAUUUGGGCCUUCAAUUCAACACCAAGGCCCAUUGGCCUUUUUGUUCUUUCUCUUACGACACAAACACAAACACAUCUUCUUUCUUUCUUUCUUCUCUUGUUACGAUCUCUCUCCUCUCUUUUGUUGCAGUCUCUUCUCAUCUUCUCCACUCUUGUCUUGAUCUCAUCUCAAGUAGGAUUAAGAAUAGGAUCAGUUUCCAACAUCAUCCACCACUUACGACAUCCACCCCUAAUUGUGACAUCGACCUCGGUGGCUAGAUCAUUAUCCGGUGGAUUUAGGGCGACUGAAGAUGACAGAGGAUAUCAUCAUUCACGAUGAUAUAUGCUUUCCGGCUCCGAUCACCCUAACUCUUAGCAGCGACCUAAUUUAUUUCAAAGAAGAAGAAGAAGAAGAAGCGAGAAACAGAGAGUUUUGAUUUCUCUCACAAGGAAGAAAUAGAGUCUCAUCUAUUUAUAAGCAAAGAGGUUCAAAAGAAAUUGCUAAUCACAAUUAAUUAACGGUCACAUAAAAGAUUUCCUUUUUUCUGUUAUUUCCUUUUUCUUUCUUUGCCUUUGUUUCUUUUUUUUUUUUUUUUUUUUUUUUUUUUUUUUUUUGAGAGAAUCUGCUGAGUUUAAUUAAGGUGAAGGAAGUCUCAACUCAUUGCCUAAGUCGAUAAGGCUGAUGAUCCGAUCCUCAAUAGUAUACUAACCACAACACUGUCUUCUUUCAUGUUAGUACCAUGAUGAUUCAUGAGAGUUUUUAAAUGGACUACUUCAAAGUCCAAUGUACGUUGGGACAAAAAUGACAUUAUACGUUUUGAAUGACUAAACAAUGUACAUGAAAUGUUCUUGUAUGUAUUUUAAUCUUGUGCCAAACUGUUUAAUUCUCUUUCGAUGCUACUUCAGCAACAACAAAGCUUGAGCUCGACUCCCUUCAGCUGCUGCAUUGAACCACCAAUCUUAAGCAAGAUGAUCUGUUGUUUUUCUGGUACAAGUCGUCCUUGGAACGCAAACCGCAUUGUUCAGUAAGCUGUGAGAUCGGCCAUAGAAGAGAUAGAUCAUGCUUCCAAUAAGUAGCCAUACCAAGACCCUGAUCCAUGUCCCAGCUCUGCGAUUACAAAUUACCAGCAAGGGUUAAGAAACAUCCCAAUAUACUGGUAUCAUACAUGGGUCCAUCAGACUAACUCACCCAAUGUUGAUGAUCAAGUAGGUGUUGAUCAAUAUGCAAAGAACUGGAAGGUAUGGGACGAAUGGGCAGAGAAACCCUGAAAUAGAAUCAUAUACAGAAUGCCAGUAAGAAAACGCUGCUCAAGUAUAAAUCCAAGUUUAUGGUUUUUGCCAAAACCUCAAAAUCUCCGUCCUAACCAGGUGAUAACCAACUCAGCAAAUGAAUAGAAACUCUUAAGCAAGCAGCAGUUUUUUAAAAAAGUGAGACCAACCAAUUUUUGUUCUGUAUGAAUAAGAAAAAAAAGGCUUAAAUAAGCUCCAGGCCUUACCUCCUUUGUGUCCAAAGUUGUGCCUUUCUUCAUCCUCGUCGAUGUAGCCAAGAGUAAUCAAACUGCCAAGCAAGAUGACGGCACUGACACCACAUAUAGUGAACCGAGGAAAACUGCCACAAACAAGAAAUAACCCAUUAGAGUUUAUAAUCAUAUUACAAAGAUAAAAACAUGCAAAUCUUUCCACACAGCAGUUGAAAAGUGCUUCACAAAAUUCUGAAACAGGCAUGCAUUUUCUAAUUGAGCAUACUUAUCGCUUUGACAUGCAAGCAGGACUGAUGUCGUUCAAAGCUAAUCAACCAAACUAAAAGAUUUGUUUAGUAGACGUAAUUACAUGUGGGCAGAACAGGUUAUACAGACAUAAGAUAUCAGAUGAUGAAACAACCUUGGAAGACGCUCAGCCGAAGCUGCUGAAGCAAGACCUAGCACACCUAUGCACACAAGAGCUAUACUCCAGGACGCAAUUUUUCUUCUCUUUCCAAAAUACUUUUCAUCUGUUCAAUUAAAAAGAAGCAAAAAAGUUAUAUUUCUAAAAUGCAGAUAAAAAGCAGUAUAGAUUGACUUGUUGGAUGUAUCUUUACAACAUAUCCAACUGGUAACUACAUGAUUGAGCACAUUUUAUGAUUUUAGUACCUCGUGCAGUUUCAUUGCCAAGUAGAGGGGAAUCAGAAGAUUCUAUAGCAUCCACAAGAAAAGUUUCAGUUUCAGCUCCACUUUCAUCGGUAUCACUCAAAGUUUGAGAUGAAGAUGCUAGGGGAACUCCAUCUGGUGGUACAUAUCUAAGAACUAGCACACAUGCUGCAACGGCAGUGAAUGCCAUUAGAGUGCCUACACUAACCUGUUGGAUAAAUUACCGAUGUGAGCUACUCAGAGAAGGAUCUGUUACCGUAAUAGAGUGUGUUUAGGCGUGUCUCAACUCCAAAAUAUAUGCCAAUUGCUUCAACAAUAUCAACACUAUACUACUAACAAUGAACAGUCAAUUUCUGUUUGCCAUUAAUUGUAGGUGAAAAUCCUUCCUUAAGACAUGAGACAUGUAAUGUAGGCAAAUACAGUAGCUUACCAUCUCGGACAACUGUGCAACAUCCAUGAAAAAUGCGAGUGCAGCGGCAAGCACACCAAUAGCUAUUGUGCUUUUCACUGGUACUUGAGUUCGUGGGCUAAUUUCUGAAAAGAAAGCCGGCAACAAUCCAUCCCUAGCCAUUGCCAUGAAAAUUCGUGGCUAAUAAAAAAAAAUUACAAAAGCACUGUCAAAAACGACAAGUAAGCAUUUCCAAAACCCACACAGAACUUGCAUGUAAUCUCAAUUACAAAAUCUUCUGAACUUGAAUUUUCAGAACGAUAGAAUUGGUUAGUACCUGAGCCAGAAGGGAACCCAACAAACUCGCACAUAGAGCAGUUAUUGCCCCAGUGGUUAAGAUGUACCUGAAAUAUAUAGGAAUAAUAAGAAAAAACAAAGCAAAGACAGAAGGAAGUAUGUGUAUAUCCAUAUUCACUAAUUAAUAUAGAGAAAUUUGAGUCUCAAGAGAUGUAUCAUAUACUUACGCUGCCCAUUGCAUCCCACUGUCUCCAAAUGCAGAGGAGAUAGGAGUAUCAGGAUUCAAUGAAUAGUAUGGGACUAAUCCAACAAUAACUACUGAUAAAAGCAUAUAUAAAAUGCAGCAUAUCAGUAAUGCAAUCCCGAUUCCCAAUGGAAGAUCCCUUUGAGGAUUUUUCACCUGUUGUGGCAAUACCAAAAGGUUAAGAGCUUAACAGAGAAAAUCGGCAGAAUUAUGGAAAAAAAAAGUUCACAAUACUAAGACCAAAAAUCCUCUUUUACUACUAGUUAGUUCUAUAUGAAAUCGUCAAAGUGAGUCCUUUGUAGAGAAAAGACAAGGAUAAUCAUUCCAAAAGAAUGAGAGUAUUAUUCACUAAACUGUGUACCUCCUCAGCCGUACUAGUUACAGUAUCAAAUCCAAUGUAUGAGAAGAAUACUACAGCAGAUCCGGCAAGUAUCCCAUUUAGUCCAAAAGGAAAAUACCUGUAAAGACAAGUAUUAAACAUUGACCUUAAGAAAUAACAUUUUGACAAAAGCUAAGCUCAAUGGAAGAAGAGAACAGGCUAAUUACCCACUCGGAAGAUCAUAUCCAACCCAUCCAGUCUUGCAAGCUAAAUAUCCACCAACUACUAUGAUGAAAACCAAGGUGCAAACAUUCACUGAUGUUACAAUUGCUUGUACUAAUGAACUCUGAGAAAACAAAAUAACCCGAUAUAACACUAUUAGGCGAUCUGAUCAUCCUGAAAUGAAUUCAUUCAAAAUGUUUUCAAUAAAGUACCUCCUUUAUCCCAAAACAUAGUAGUAUCGUGACAAUCAUAAUCAAAAGUGCUGCACAUGGAUCAACCACAAUACCAACCCCGGGUAUAGUUUGUCGAGCUAAGAACACAGGAAGUUUGUCUAAACCACCAAAAAAAGAUGCCUAAAACAAAAGAAAACACCAGUCAAAAUUUAAUCAAUGAAAGACCACAAAUACAUAUAACUCAAAGGGAAAUACCAGAUUUGGAGUUAUGCCACGGGCAAUGGCUGAUCCACCAAUUGUAUAAUCCAACACCAGCGCCCAACCAACCAACCAAGCAAUCCUAUUAAAUAAGAAAAUCCAUGAGUAUCAGCUUUAAGAAGAACGACAAGGUCAAAGUAAAUUUUGACAUUGAAACCCAUCUAUAUACCCUUCUCCAAGACAAAUGUAUGCAUAAUGAUAAGCACUCCCAGCAGAUGGACAACGAGAAGCAAGCUCAGCAUAACAACACGCCGAGAGAGCAGCAGCUACACCAGCAAUGAAGAAUGAUACAGCAAGAGCAGGUCCUGUGUGCUCUCUAGCUACUGUUCCCACAAGAAUAUACACUCCUGCUCCAAUUGUUGUCCCAACUCCUGAAAAAUUAACAUAGUCAACAUCAAUAGCAAGAAAAAGGUAGAAUUUUGAUCAAAAUUCGCCAAAGUUCGAAGCUUUCUCAUACCAAUAGCAACAAGAUCAACGGCGGAUAGUUUCUUGGCAAGCUGAUGAGGUCCAUCGUUUUUGAUCAGAUGAACAGAAUCAACUUGUUUCCUUCUGACAAGACUGUUCAUAUUAACCAAACUUUGCAGACUCCACACCGGUUUGAUUUUCCAAUCGAUUCAGAGCAAACCCAUCAGAAAAUCCAACAAAGAUUGAAACUUUUUCUCCUAAGAAUCCACCAAAUGGAGUAUCGGAGCCGGAGAUACUUGGAGAGGCGUGCACGAUUCCACCUUUUGUCAGAUUUGGAAUCAAGAUUCUCGUUGAAAGUUUGGAUGACUUUUGUGAAUUUGUUUUUUUAAUUCACAGGGCUAAUUUUGUGAUCUCACAUAAUUUCUCCAUUUAAUGAGCAAAUUCUACACAUUAAACAUUUCUUCUCUUUACCAAAAACAAAAUGGUGAUGUAGAUUAUACAGUUUACGCCCAAAUGUUAUAGAUAAUCAUGUAAAAUGUAGUUAGUUUAACCAGUGAAGUAGAAAACACACAAUAUCACUCGUCUAAUCUCCAAUUCAAUCCUUUUUGAGUCCAAAAGACAUGAAUAUAAAAAGAAAACUUGCAACAAAAUCGUAGAUGUGAAGCUGGUCUUCAAAAAGACAUCUAGCUAUUUUUUCAAGUAGAUGUGAAGCUGGUCUUCAAAAAGACAUCGUCAAAAAGCUCUCUUAAGGAUGCGAAUUAUUGGUAUAGCAUCUAAUUUCUUGGUAUUCUACAGCUUUUGUGUAUGUUGGUAGGAUAUUUAGUUUCAGGCACUGGCAGUUGUUACUCUUGGUGAUAAGCUAUUGGCGAACAGCCUUGAGGGUUCUGAUGAAUAGAAAAGGUUCUAUCUUCAGGUCUCUUCAAUAUUUCUUUUUCUUUUCACUCUGUUAUCAUUUUCUAACAAAAUAGCCUUUUAAUAGGUAGAAUUUAGAUUUUUUGCUACGUUUCAUUUUUUUGUUGAGCUUAUAGAGAUAUUCUCAGCUACUCCUUGUGAUGUUUCAGUACACUUUUCCUCCAUCUUCUGCUGGUUAUGUUGGAAGAAUUGGAACACGGGACACUAGCAGAGUGAGCAAUGGAGACCAGAUAACCUCCUACUGAUGAUGAUUUUCCUUACACAAUACGUGUUGAAUGAAAGUGCAUGCAGUACUAAUUGAAAGCAAUGCCUCUUCAAGGUAGGUCAGAUUUUUUUUUCUCUGUGGCUGUAAGAUAUGCACCUGCCAAGUUAAUUUGUUUGAGUUAUAGAUUUGCGCUUGCUUCUUAUAUUCUUCUGAAACAAAUGUAAUCUGUUUGUUGUGGUUGCUUGGCUUUUACAAGAUGCUGGAAUUCCAGUCAAAUGCUCUGUUGCUGGCAUAGCAAUGGGAAUGGUUUUGGGAUAUUACUGAAGAAUUUGGCUCUGAUUAAUCUCCUCUUAAUUAUCCUUUCUGACAUCACUGGAGCUGAAGAUGCAUAUCUGGUGAAAUGGAGUAUAAGGUCAUCAAAUAUAUGAUGCUCUUGAAGGGGACAAAGGUCAAACUCGUGAUGAGGAUGGUAAUGAUGAUAGAUGGAUCGAUAGUAGCGUGAAUGCGUGAUGAGGAUAGUAAUGAUGAUAGAUGGAUACGAUACUAGAGUCCAAAGCUCUUUUGGGUAACUUGGGUUACCUCUUUUUGGGUUUUUCUUUAUUGAUUCAAAUCAGUGAUAUUGAUACAAAGAUUUGAGGAGACUCUAUUUAUAAGCCUAAGAGAGACGGCCUAAUCCUAAUUCCAAUGAAAAUAGGACUUCGACUUUAUCCUAAAACGGAAAGAAAUCAAAAAUAACCAAAGACGGCAAAAACUUGUUUGACACGAAAACACAACACCAACUAAUGCGUCCAACGACUCGAACUUGAUAAGAUGCGCUGCAUCACCUCCAAGACCGGAACACCAUAAGGCUUUAGGAGCAUCUUCCUAAUCAUCCGUGGGAGCAGCUUCCGGCUCAACAAUUAACUUGUCCUCGAUGAGUUUCCCUAGUGCAUUCACAUGCUCAUGAAGAUAUAUGUCUAGGAGAGCUUUUGGUUUUGAAUGAGUUACCAUAAAUUCUAAGCACCGAUCAAAUCUCCUGCAACAAAUAAACCAAGCUUGUUGAAUAGCCGACAAGUUUAUUCAAUAUAAUGUUUUUAAUAGUUAUAUAUUAUACCCUCCAAGAUAUUCUCUAAUCAAGUGUUGGAAUUGGUCGCCAACUAGUUGACUUCCCAUGUGCUUUGCAAUAUCCUAUCAAAAAUCAAUUAAAAAUGAUUACAAGUGAGAUUGUUUGUAAGAUUGUUUACGAAUAUUUGAUUAUUUAUGAUAACCUAUUACCUCUAGUUCUUCUCUGGGCAUAGUGGCAAGUCCACACCAUGUGCAAUACAAGAUUAUGUCCUCCCAUGCAAACAACUCGAACGUAUAUGUUGACCACUUCACAUAGAAUUUUAUCAUAUGGGCAAACUGCAAAAACAAAUAAAAUAUUGAUCAUUACCAAAUACCAAACAUAACUAUAUACCAAACAUAAAUAUUUUGAAGAGUUUAAUUACCAAAACGGCGGCUGCAUAAUAGUGGCCUCUAGCCAUGUUGGCUAAGCCUCUUGCACAUAACGAUUUGAAAUGUAUAGCUUUCCUAUCAUCACCGUCAUCAAGCUUGGGUGCGUAUGUAUCUAGUUUUAUCGAAAGAAUGCACACUUCCUCGAACUUCCGGCAAUGCAAUGCCGAGAUCACAAGCAAAAUACACACGGGAAGCUUACUCAACGUAUCAAAAGCUUCCUCUAGAUGUCCACUAUGGUAUUGAUAUCGACCAAGUUGGUGUCUAAGACUUUCCAUAACCUUUCGCUUCUCUGGAUUUUCCAUGCGGCAUUGGUUCUUAGCCUCUUCCUCUUCAUCACGAGCCCACUUCUAAGAGACACCAAUGUAAGCUGUUACACUAUACCAUAUAUAUAUUUAAAAUAAAAACAUCAGUAUAAGACAUUAUAAUGAGUGUACCAUUGCAUAUCUCAAGCGAUAGUUUCGCUUGUCUAGUUCCUCAAUGUAGAGUGACUCCAUUCGCUUGAGGAUCUCCGGAGUUGCUAUGUACUGCUGGCCUAAUCUUCCAUUGAUUAGAUUUGAUAUGAUCUCUAGAAACUUGUAAUCAGUCUGAAGUCUCCAUUUGGGUGUCCCAUUCGUGAGUUCUUCAAAUGCCAUUUGCAAAGCCACAAGUUCAUCUUCUUCCUCCAAGAGUCCCUUUGUCACCAUAUGAUGUAUCCGCAAGAGUUUCUCACGUCCGGUAUAGCUUUGUAUGUAGUCUAUAAAAUCGAAAAGAGGUACGUCCGACAUGUUUUCAGAUCUGCCCAAAACAAAAAACAUCAAAAAGGAAACAUUAACUUGUGAUGCAAGGAAGCAAAUGUAACAAUAGGCCCAAAUCGAGACAUGUAAGAAAGAGUGUCCAAUCAUGUUAAUCUGACCAAGAGAAUACUAAAAACACAGGCCCAAAUAGAGACAUAAUGAAAAUAUGAGAGUCCAGAAAUAUUAAUAUGACCAAGAGAAUCAUAAAACACAGGCCCAAAUAGAGACAUAAUGUAAAUAUGAGAGUCCAAAAAUGUUAAUAUGACCAAGAGAAUCCUAAAACCUAAGACCAGGCCUAACUAUAUCCAGUACAGAACCAACACUAAGGACAACACCAAAUUUUCGUUAUUCUUCAUUCAGUAACUUAUAUAAGUUGUCGAGAAUUAAGGAACACUAAGCAAGAAAUUUGUAUAGAUAUAGUCUGAACUUACUGAAACAAGAAAGUACGGUGAAAAUGCAAUUGGAAAAAGCAGUAAACAAAUGGAAUUGUUUGAUCAAAAAAAAAAAUGGAAUUGAAAACGCAAAUUAGAAACCCAAAUUGAAAACAAACAAAAAAAAACCCAAGAAAUCGCGGUUAUGAGAAAAAAAAAAAAAAACAGAGGAUGAGAGAGGAAAAAACAAAGACGAGAAACAAACUUUUUUGGAACAUGAAUCUAUGGUGUUGUAGUGAUCUAGAACCAGAUUUGACGUGCAGAUUUUGUUGUAUCUAAACGAUUUUUCUUAGGUUAUGGAAUCGAAUCGAGAGAAGAAGCAAAGAUGCACAAAAGCUCUCACACACACGAGAACAAAACCAGAGAAACCAGAGAAUUCAUCAGCGUCACACAAUUCACCAUCAUCAUCAAUCGAAUCAACAGUAGAAGCAAAGAUACCAAAAACCUCUUACAUACACGAGAAUGAAACCAGAAAAUUCAUCAUCGUCACAAUUCAUCAACAUCAAUUCACCAUCAUCAUCAAUCGAAUCAAGUGUAGAAGCAAAGAUACAUAAAAUCUACCACACACACGAGACUGAAACCAUAAAACCCUAAGAAAUCAUCAUCGUCACAUCAUCAUCAUCAUCAUCUUCAAUCAUCAUCAUCAACAUCAAUAAACCAUCAGGAAACUUCAUGUAUAUAACCGAUUGUUCUUAGGUUGUGGAAUCGAACCACAAUAAGAAACGAAGAUACACAAAAUCUCUCACACACGACGAGAAUGAAAUCAGAAAAAUCGAAUCAAGAGAACGUCAUUACUCAUCAUCAUCAAUCCAUCAUCAUCAUCAUCGUCACCAUCAUCCGGAAAUCUAAACGCGUAAUGCUAAAGCAAACCAGAAAAAAAAUUACCAAGAGAUUUUUCAAUCUUCGUCUUCUUCGCUGUUCUUCAGAAUAUCUUGAGAAGAUCUUCAGAGAAAAUGGAGCCAGAUUUUAAUUUGUGAAUUAAUGGAAGCAGUGUGCGAGCCACAGUACCUUAACGGCCUUGAAAACACCAUUCGCUCUCUCACGCGUCUAUGCGUGCGUGAUAACACGCGCUAUUUUGCUUCUUCUUCUUUCGUUUUUUCCCUCUCACGAGCUAUUUUGCUUUGAGUAAUAUUUGGGCUUUUGUCUGUGUUUGGGCUUUAGCUCGUGUUAUGUUUUUGAAAAAACCAUUAUCAUAGUUUCAAGGGACUUAAAAAAAAAAAAUAGCCAAGGUUUUACUUUUUUAGUUCGGUACAUAUUCAUUGAGUAAAUUGCUAAAAGAUUCCUCCAAUUUAUCAAAUUCUGUAUAUUUACCCAUAUCUACCCACAUGUUAGAAAACAAUAUAAAUACGUAGCACUGGAAAACAACAUUUUUAUUUUAUCAACAACAUAAGAACAAGUCGUUUCUCUUAACGCUCGAACUCGAUAAUUACAAAAUCAUAACGGACGGUUAUUUUCCAUUGUCGUAAGAUUUGUAAAAUUUGAAAAGCUGGAGGGUGUUGUCCAGCAAUUUUUUCCCCAACCUAUAAUAAUGAUGCCCUUAAAUGGUAACAAUGUCUCUGUUACUUAAACACGGUCGUUUACCCUUGUGUUUAGAUUAUCUGUUUAGUUAGAAAACAAACAUGGCCUUUGAAAAUGUAAUUAAUUACUUUCUCUAUCCCAAAAUUCUUUAUGACCAAAAUAGCCCUGAGGCAUACAAAAACGUGAUCUUCAGGGGCAUCAAAGGUUUUGUACCCGGCAAUGAACUUGUCCUGAGGAAGAGAGAUAAUCCAAUAAAGAUCAAAACUUUUUCACAAAGAAAUUUCAGAUGGAGGAUCGGAUCCGGAGAUACUUAGAUGUGGGAUGUGGAAUCAAGAUUCUCGUUGGUAAGAUUCUUGAAAGUUUAGAUGAAUCUUUUGAUUUUUUCUAUUAUUUAUUAUUCACAGUUGGGCCAAAUUGUGUUGAGGACAACCAACUCCUGAUGAAUGAAUUAUAUAUCUCAAGAAAUCUUUUAACUACACCUCAAAUUUAAAAACACUAAAAGAAUCUCUAUAGUUAAAUUAGUGACCAUUGUGGGAAAAGGAUGAAUACAGAAUACCAUAUCAUUUUUUUCUUCUUUUCUCAAAAGAAAAUUCUUUAUUUUACACAAAUUUCACCAUUUAACAGUGAUUAUCUAUCAAAAUGUGAGAUCUCACAAGUUGCUCUUCAUUCUUUUUUAGUUUCUUUUCCCUUUGUUUUAUGAGUAAUUGUAGGGAAAAAAUCAUUGUCAUCAAAACUAAAGAGUAUUAUAAAGUAUUGUAACAUUAAUUGUCAUUAUUUUAGGGUUUUAAGUAUUUUAUUAUAUUUAAAGAUAUAUAUAUAUAUAAUUGCGUCCGGUAUAUUGAGUAAUUGACAAGUAUACUCAUCAAAAAGUUAAAAUUUUGGUUCCUCAGUCCUUUCCUGGGCAAAUUCCAUUUACCUUAGAAUUUUUCUCCAAUAAAAACAAUCUAAGAACUAUACUUCAAAGAGUCCAAAUGUAAAUUACGGGAUUUUUACUUAAUCACAAUUCACAAGGUCCAAUAGUGAAAAGGACUGCAAAUAAAAUUGUCUAAACUAUACUUCUUUAUUCUUAAUCGCAAUGUAAAAAGGUUGUCUAAAUAACAGUGAUGUAAAGUUUUAUUUGCAGGAGAAAAAUAAACUUUUCUUCUCUGAACGACUGAACCAAAAAAAAAGAAUGAUGUAAAUUAUACAGUUAUUUCAUUUAAACCAAUAGUUUACGCCCAAAUACUACUGAUAUAUCAAUUAUUUCAUUUAAAAUAAAAUGUAGUUAGUUUAACCAGUAAGUAGAAAACACUAUCACUCGUUGUCUCGUCCAAUAUAAUAUCCAAACCAAAACGAUGUUCCCUUUCGAAAAAUAUAUAAAAUAUAUAUUCUAUAAAUCUGAUAUAGAUAUUAUAUUUGACUAUGGUUUUCAAACCUUUUUGAGUUCAAAAACAUAAAAGAAAACUAGCAACACAGUCUUGUUCCACAAUAUAAAAAAUAAUAAUCAACCCUUACCAAAGGACAAAACUUGAUAUAGUUUUAGAGCAAACUACUUUCCACCAAAAGUGGGGAAAAACCAACGAGCAUCCUUGAAUGGUAUUGGCGAUGAAGUAGUAAGAUGUUCAAACACUUGGACCUUUUUCUUGGUUUUAAUAGGGUGGACGCAAAUACCGUACUUAUCAUCAUUGCAUAGACUAACCCCUUUAUAUCUAUGUAAAUCAUCAUGACUAAAAUAUAUGCAAUUUCUCAUAACUCCAUCUUUGGCUGCAACCGUUAUUCCUAGGUCCAAAAUCAAUGCUUCGUCCCCUAUAGACUUGAUUAAUCUCCAUUUUGAUGAUUUAGGAUCUAUCUUGUAGAGGGUGAAGAAGCAUUUCUUUGGAUUGCUUGAAAUGAUCAAAACUUCUCCAGACAAUGUCACAGCAAGAUUCCUGACAUAACAAUCUUUCGGAGAUGGGAGAGUUGCAUACUCCACUGGAGAAUGACCACCGGAGAAAUCAAACACAGAAAUAUUUCGAGCUGGACUAAGCACGUAAAGUUUGCUUUCUUUAUACACCAUAUGGCGGCAUCCUUGAUGCUUUGAAGGUUGAAACACUUUCCAGCUAUUAUUGUCACCUCCUUUCUUGUGAUAUGCAAAAGUGCUAUGAUGAAACCAAACAACAAAGUAAUCUCUGGUUUUUUCAUCUACCCACAAAACCGCACCCCUUAUUCUAAGAUCGCUGUUUUUACCAUAAGAAACAAGUCCAUGUGCUUUGUAAUACAUAGACAUCUCGAAAUCAGAGUCACCGGUUCUCACAAACUUCAUCUGCCAUCCAUCAAUUGAUUCCAGAGACGGAAGAGGAAUUCUCUCUCGAGUAAAUAGAUUCAAGAGAUGAAAAUCAGUUUUAUGGUCUAACAUAAGGAACCAGCUACCGGAACUUGCCAAACAACGACUCCUAACCAUAUCAAACCCGAGAUCUCUUAUUGUGUAUGAACUAUGGUCACGAGGAUCAAACAACUUACACGAAUCGUUGUUGGUUUUCACAUGUUCGUUUGGAAAGAGGAUAAUCCAUGGAGCUGUCGGAUUUGUUCCUCCAAUGCAUGAUUUCGAAGCGGAAUACCAUCCUGAAGAAACACAUCUAGCUCGAUGAAAAUCAACAAAGCUCAAGCGUUCCAAGACCAAUCUAACCAAGUCCGGGACAAGUAUCGGCUGCUUUGAAUCGUUGCAUGUCUUUUUUUCGUUGGAAUCGCUCAUCUCCUUCUUCUGUUUCUUCUGUGUCACGGCCAAGUAAAAAAACCUAAUUAAAGAACGCUUCCCUUUCGUUUGUAUAAUAUUGAAUUAACAUAUUAUUUGAUUUUUCCUUUUAAACUAUGUAAAUAAAUUACUUAUAAAUUAAAAAUAUUUUCCUUUUUUUUUCUUUACAUACUUCCUUCAUUUAAGAUUUUUAUUUCCUAAUUCGUGAUGCAAAUUAAGAUAUAAUUCACUCUUUAACAUAUAUAUAUAUAUAUAGUUUUUUUUUUAGAGGAUCAAUAUACAGUUGCGUAUCGUGUAGCUAGCCCAAUUUGUCAAAUUUAUAUUUUCAGUAUUUUCCUUUUAGUUCAUCAAUUUCUUACUAAACUUUUCCAUUUAAUUUAGUUUUAAAUAUCUCGAUCCCCGCAUCCGUGGUUAUCAAACGGCUUCACCGAUAUAAUUUUAAAAUCUCAAAGUCCGCGACAUGAUUCGAUCUGUCUUCGAACUUUGAAGAGUUUCAUAAAGCCAGGUCCCUUUAAAGAGAUUGGUAUUCAAGAAAGUCUUUCUAUUGGCAACGAAGCAUUGUUUUUGGAUAUAGGAACGACUGUUGCAGCUAAUGAUGGAAUUAACAAAUAUUGCAUUUACUUUAGCAAUGAUCACUUUCAUAGAUACAAUCUGGCAUUAGUCUAUGCUAUGAAACCAGUACAAUAUUCAAACAUGAUCAACGAUUUUAAUACAUUGCCGAUUGCCUUUCAAGGAUGCUCGUUGGGGUUUCCCAACUUUUGGUGGCAAAUGGUUGCUUUUAAGGCGAUCAAGUUUUGUGUAAGAUUAUUUCUUCUACUCUAUGCUUUAAAUAUUUAUCUAAGGAAUUAACACUUGUAGAAAACAGACCAAUCUUACUGAAUUUUAUAUUGAUGAUGAGUGUUUAGUUUAUCAUAGUGACUCCAAUUAUUACAAGAAAAAAGUAAUACAACAACAACACUAAAUCGUCUCCCAUGAUCCACAUCAUUCGACAGUGGUCACACUAAGUUACAAGAUCUCCGCAUCAUGAUGUCUGUUCCUAACUUCAGCUUACUCGGAUUUUCCUUUGGCUUUUUUAUUACCUUUUAUUUGCUCAAUCUUCUGCCAUUGGGUCAUCACUGUUAUUGUUGUCAUUAUUGUUUCUACCGCUUGCAUUAGCGUUCACAACUUCGACCCAAACACUCUGGCUUCUCUCUGCUCCUCCAUUGAUAUCUCCCCAAGUCUGUGGUUGUCUUCCGUUUCUCUCAUUUGUCUCAGCUCCACCGUCUGAGAAUUGGCCCCAUACGCUUCUCGUCUUCCCUCCUCCUCCGCUUAACUCCUCUUCGCAUCCCGCAACUGUUUUCAGAAGUUCAGACUGAAGUGAUGGGCAGUGUUCCCUUAGAUAAUCAAACCCAUCUGACCUCAUAACAGCUGCAUCAAAACAAAUGUUUAUGCAAUAUAAGUAUGGUGUGAAAUCAAUUUCAGUGAUGAGCCAUAAGGGAAGGUUAUUACCGAUGAGAUUUUCUGCUGCGAAUUUCAGACAAACAGAUUUCAAGGCGGAAGCAUUGUAGCGGUCAGCAAGCGCCAAAAUAUUUGCAACGGAAUCUACUGAUAUAUCUUUGCAGAGCACUGACUCGCACAUUAGACUUAGUCUAGGCAACUUGUAUUUAUCAGCGGCUCCUAGUAGCUUUGCAGCUAAUGUGUCUGAUGCAGAUGGACCAACAGAUGAACCGGAAGAUGAUGAUGACUCUGCAUCUUCAAUGAGAGCAUCCUUGUAUAUGUAGUGGAGCAAAGCCUUCACCAGAAAUGCAUCAAGAAUUAGAAAGAAAUGCGAUGCGUUUACAUUGUGUGAUGUUGAUACAUGCUUAGUGUCAAAAAGUUGAGAGAAAGUUUACCUUGAAAACCUUAGGCUCCAUGUCAGUAACUUCAAUAUCACGAUCUUCUUCUCCAGUAUCAUCGAGGAACUCGCUUUCAAAGACAGGAGAUCGAGCAGCCAAUACUAACCUGUGAGCACGGAACUUUUCACCAGAGACAUUAAAAGUUAUAUCUGAACCGUCCUCAUUCUCCAGAAGCAUCCCGAAAUGAGAUCCAAUAUCAGAUGCAGGGACAUGAAUAGAAUGUAACCGUGGGCAAUCUAUUUCUGAGACCACAACUCCCACAGUACAAUUAAUUUUCAAACAAUCAUCCUUCAGAAAAUCAGAUGUUUCCAGCAUAAGUCUUCUAAAAAAGCGCUUGUAGCCCCUGUAAGCAAAUAAAAUCGAAUAAGAAUCCGUUGAGCGAAACAGGGAAGUACAAAACUCUAUGAGGGAAUGAUUCCUCUGCAUUAACAAGCAGUAAAAAUUUUGAGAGCUUUCUAAUGCAGAGUCAAAUCAAAAGCCAAAGGCAUCACCUUCAAGAAGGAGAAACCAGCAGACAAUGGUUGAUUAAUUCAUACAAGCAGACUUAACAACAGAUGCUUAAAGCAGGAAAACCAACGGUACCAAAUUUAUCUUGAGGGCAAAACACAAUACUCUAUUGCUUUACUCAUACAAGCGGCAUCAAACCUAACAUGAAGAUAUUCAUACAAGCAAGAUUUGUGCUGCUAUAUGCAGGUGAACAGUAAGCAAUGUUCCUACUUCAAAAUUAGCCUACCAUUCUGAAAGAUUGGUGCCUAUAUAGCAAAUCACGCCAACGUGUGAAAAAUAUUACUUUUCAAGAAAAUCCUAGAUAUCAUCAGUCCAAACCCUCUCUCAUUCCCAAUCAAGUUUCCUUAACUACAGAACCAACGCUACAAGCUGGUGAAGCAGCAGGAACCUAAUUCUUUUUACGAAAAGUUCAGGCAAACUAGUAACAGGAUGUCAAAAACAGGUAAAAGAAUCUUCAUAUUCUAGAAAUUUGCUUCUCCUACUCCAAGUCUCCAAGUCCUCUCUCUUUCCAUAGGUCAGAGUUUCAAGUAAACCACAAAAAUAAAGCCAAGCAGCCUCCAACAUCAACUCUCCCACAACUUUGUUUAUCUUCUCACAUCUGAAAGCUCUCACCAUCCAUUUCUCAACUUCAUAUACAGGUCACACAAACAAAAGAAUCAAACAAAUUGAGAAAUCCACAGCCAAUGUAAUUCAAUUUCCUCUGAAUUUCUCAAUCUUUUUAUCCUUGUGAGCUCACACCAUCUUGUCUUCAACAAUCUACAUCCUUCUCCUAUCCAAAUAUUCCAGUUUCCAUUCACAAAAUCAAACUCUUGACCACUUAAUAAUACCCCUAACCUAAUAUCAACCCCGACAAAGGAGCAAAAUUUACCCUGAAAGUAAUGAGCUUUCACUAGAAAUCAAAGACCCUAAGCCAAUUCUUUACCAAACCCUAGCAAAGAGUUAAGAGAAAAAUAAAAAAAAUCAAAAGAAAAAUCGGAGAAACGAACCACAUGCUGCCACGAUACUUGAGUGUAUAAGGACCGCUCUCAAGAGCACGAUCGAAGUGGCUAUGAACCUUAUGCUUCCCUUUACCACUCUGAUCAAGCAAAGAAAGCUCAAAGAGAGCCCUAACAUCGGUACCAUCGCUAGCAAGAGCAAUGAAAACGGAGACAUAAGCCGAAUUAUCCUCAGGAUUCUUGCCAUCAGGAUAGAAAUAGAUUGCCCAUUGAUAGCCUCCGACGGUGAAAGUAUCGCUGGCGAUGUGUUUUCCGAUCCCGAUUCCUUUGGCCAAAGAAUAGCCUUUGAUUGUGAAGCUGUGUGAUCCGUUUAUGGUUUGUGUGACGGAGAGAGAAGUCGUCGUCGGUGGCGAUGGCAUUUCGAAAAUUUCGUCGUUGGUUUCUUUGAGAUGGAUUUUGUUUUAUGAAUUUUUAUUUUUUUCCUUGGGAAGAUGAUUCAACGCGGCUUUCAGUUAAAAUGCAGACAUAAAGUCAUGAACGGGUAAUAAAAUCUCAUUAAUAGCAGUAUGAUUAACCAAACUUAAAACCGACUAAUCACAUAACCAAUACUAACAAAAACCAUUAAACAAAAUUUACCUAUAUCAAUCUAUGAAAAUGUUGAAAAGAAUAAUUAAAUAUUUAAAUUUUUGCUUUAUGAUUAUUGAUUAACCUAUUUUUCACUUUUUGUGUUUUCCAAUCUUUUUACACUGUUGAUUUUAAAUCAAUACGAAAAUGACCCUGAAACUAGAUGUUAGGUGUAAAAGAAAACGUUUACAUACAAACAUAUUUACAUAAUUCUUUUUUUUUCUCCUUCUUCGUAACUUCUCUUUCUCCCUCUCUCUCUCUCUUUUUUUUUUCUCUCAUUAUCUCUUUAUUAGCAUUUUAAUUACUUAAAAUCACAUAUCUUAUCAUUUUUUUUAUACAAUAAAUUAAGAUUUAGUUUUUCAUACAUUUUAAGAUCCAUUUUACUAUAUUUUAAGUGAAUAAUUAUAUUACAUAUUAUCCAUUUCUGAUUGAACAUUUGUUAGUUAUUAAAUGGAUAUCAAUAGAUACUUUGAACAAAUAUACUACACCAAUAUUUUUAACUAUCGAUCAUCCAAGCAUAUCCGCUAUACUCUGACCACAUAGAUGACUAAGGAUUCGGUUUUUCGAUAGACUAUACAUCUGCCAAACUCUGAACAAGUAUGUUGUUCAUAUUUUACUAUUAGAUAUGUUUUAUUUGUUUAUCUGACCAUCCGACACUGAACACAUAGUAAAAGUUAAUAUAUACAAGUAUUUAUAUACAAUGUUCACGGACAUUUGAACAUAUGAACUCAUUUUUUGCAAAAAAGCCACACAUGCAAACCAUAAACUCAAAACCCAAAAUUAUUAAACUUAAAUUCACACCAUUUUAACAAAAUUUGUGUAAUUAUCCAUUUUUGAUUGAACAUUUGUUAGUUAUUAAAUGGAUAUCAAUAGAUACUUUGAACAAACAUACUACACCAAUAUUUUUAACUAUCGAUCAUCCAAGCAUACCCGCUAUACUUUGACCACAUAGAUGACUAAGGAUUCGGUUUUUCGAUAGACUAUACAUCUGCCAAACUCUGAACAAGUAUGUUGUUCAUAUUUUACUAUUAGAUAUGUUUUUAUUUGUUUAUCUGACCAUCCGACACUGAACACAUGGUAAAAGUUAAUAUAUACAAGUAUUUAUAUACAAUGUCCACGGACAUUUGAACAUAUGAACUCAUUUUUUGCAAAAAAGCCACACAUGCAAACCAUAAACUCAAAACCCAAAAUUAUUAAACUUAAAUUCACACCAUUUUAACAAAAUUUGUGUAAUUAUCCAUUUUUGAUUGAACAUUUGUUAGUUAUUAAAUGGAUAUCAAUAGAUACUUUGAACAAACAUACUACACCAAUAUUUUUAACUAUCGAUCAUCCAAGCAUACCCGCUAUACUUUGACCACAUAGAUGACUAAGGAUUCGGUUUUUCGAUAGACUAUACAUCUGCCAAACUCUGAACAAGUAUGUUGUUCAUAUUUUACUAUUAGAUAUGGUUUUAUUUGUUUAUCUGACCAUCCGACACUGAACACAUGGUAAAAGUUAAUAUAUACAAGUAUUUAUAUACAAUGUCCACAGACAUUUGAACAUAUGAACUCUUUUUUUGCAAAAAAGCCACACAUGCAAACCAUAAACUCAAAACCCAAAAUUAUUAAACUUAAAUUCACACCAUUUUAACAAAAUUUGGCCAAAUCUAAAGUUUAUUUUGUAAAAGUUACAAAAUUUUACCUCAAUCUUAGAAAUAAGUACAAAUAGAUCGAUUAAAAAUAGUUAUUUGAGUCAAUGGUCGAUUUUAACUAUAUUAUGCAAAGGUUGUGACCAUUUUACAUGAGUUUCUUUGUUACCAUCAUCUAUUGUUAAUUCUUUCAUUGUUAUUUAUUUGUCAUCCAUAUCAACAAAUCCAUAUGUUCAUAUACAUGGUAAUUUGCAUUAAUCUUAGGGUUCACCUUGUGCCAUAUCGAUAACAUCAAAGUAGUAAACUUCAAACAAAUGAGGCAAAUAAGUGAUGAACAUUAUCACAGAACUAUGACCAAGAUCUCCAAGCACAUAAUAGUUUUAUGUAAACAAAACCAUUAAUCUAUAGUUUAAUCUGAGAAAAUGACAUAGAAAUAAGGGGAUGCACUUCAGUCUCUUCUUUGAACGAUGCACUCUUCUCCACACCCUUACGAUUGCUCUCAUCUUCUUCAACAGCUUUGACUUCUUCUUCUUCCACAACAGAUUUCACAGUAGUCCCCUAACACUAAUUAACUUUCUUUUAGUUGAGAUCUAAAAGAAACAAGCUUACUUCUUCUUCCUGAUUCGUAGAGAUCUAUAAAUCAAAAACGUAAUUCUUGCUAAACCCUAACGAUUAAACGAACUCAAACAACAAAACAAAAGGAAUCUUACUCAAUUUCUUGUCUCAACUAACCAAACUAAUUCCAUCAUCGAGAAGAGGAAUUGAUCCAAUAAGCUAUGGAGAGAUGGAGAGAGGAAGGCGGUACAAGUCAUGGAAGAAGAGAGAGAGAGAGAGAGAUCCUUUAUUUUGCUAUGGAUCGUCAGAAUCAAGGAGGAAGAAGAAGAAAGAGAAGUAGAUGAAAGUAACGAAGAAGAGGAGGAUUGGGUUUAGAUAGUAUGCUUAGUUAGAGGGUAUAAAUAACCAAACUUAAAACCGACUAAUCACAUAACCAAUACUAACAAAAACCAUUAAACAAAAUUUACCUAUAUCAAUAAAUAUCUCAAAGAAUAAUUAAUUAUUUAAAUUUUUGCUUUAUGAUUAUUGAUUAACCUAUUUUUCUUGAAACAAUUUACUGAGUGAAAUUAAUACAAGUUAUAGAUAAACGACGUCGUUUGGUAUUUCGCUGAAUUGUUUUUUUUUUUUUUUUCUGUAUCGAUUAAUUCUAACGAAAUUUAUGGUAGCUGAGAAAAUGCAGCGAGAGUCACCACCGAAGAAGCGUUGUCUCGGAGAAGCUCCAGACAUUAUUCCGGCCACCGAACUAUUUUUCCGAUGUGCGAACUUAAUUCUUCCAUGCCUAAACCCUCAAGAACUCGGCGCUGUCUCUCAAACCUGCAAAACCUUAUCCCUAAUUUCCAAAUCUAUAACCUUUCACCGAUCCCUUGACGCUGCACGAUCCUUGGAAAACCUCUCAAUCCCGUUUCACAACUCCAUCGAUUCUCAACGAUACGCUUACUUCAUCUACACACCAUUUCAGAUUCCCGCGUCAUCUCCUCCGCCGCGACAAUGGUGGGGAGCUGCUACUGAAUGUGGAUCCGAGUCGAGACCUUGUUUUGACUCAGUGAGUGAACGCGGACGUUUUGGAGUGAGUCUACUGGACGAGUCAGGAUGCGAAUGCGAGAGGUGUGAGGAAGGAUACUGCAAGUGUUUAGCUUUCGUUGGGAUGGAGGAGAUUGGUAAUGAAUGCGGGUCGGGUUGUGGAUGCGGGUCGGAUUGUUCAAACCGGGUUACACAGAAGGGGGUUUCGGUUAGUUUGAAGAUUGUAAGAGAUGAGAAGAAAGGUUGGUGCUUGUACGCUGAUCAGCUUAUCAAGCAAGGCCAAUUCAUCUGUGAAUAUGCAGGUUACAACUACAUUUCGAUUCUCGAAUAGUUUAGUGAUUUUUGAUGAAUUAUCUUUGAAGGUUGAAUGAUUACAACAUUAGAGGAACAUUAGUGAUCGUGAAAGUUGAUUGAUUUGGGGUGAAUUCUCUUUGGAAGUUGGAGUUGAGCUCAAGAUUACAUGAUUAGAGGAACGCUAGCAUUAGGUUCUUGGAACUUGAAAAUCAAGCUCAAGAGUACAUGAUUUGACAAAUAUUAGCAUUAGUUAUUAGCCAUUUACUUCGACUGCAUACGAGUUUGGAGAUUUAGCUUGAUGCAUUGGGAUGAGAUUCUAGCAUGGUAUAAGAGUGAUCUCCAUCAGUGAAUGAUUUCAGCUUUUGAUAUGUUCUUGUUUCAAUCGUUUAGCUCGGUAGCACAAUGCUGAAUGUGGAGAUUAGAGAUAAUGGCAAAUUUUUCUUCUUUCUUGAAUAUGUUUUUUGUGAUCUGCCUUAACGACCAUUUGUGCAUUACUUGAUAGCCUUCAGACUUGGUUUAUGCAAAAGUCAAAAACUGUUUUUGUUGUCUCUUCUUAUAUAGGUGAGCUAUUGACAACAGAUGAAGCACAUAGACGUCAAAACAUUUACGACAAACUGAGAUCAACGCAAUCUUUCGCUUCGGCUCUUUUGGUCAUACGCGAACACCUCCCUUCAGGACAAGCUUGUUUAAGGAUAAACAUCGAUGCCACAAGAAUUGGGAACGUUGCUAGAUUCAUCAACCAUUCUUGUGACGGCGGAAAUCUCUCCACCGUUCUGUUGAGAAGCUCAGGAGCAUUGCUUCCUAGGCUCUGUUUCUUUGCAGCAAGGGACAUAAUUGCAGAGGAGGAGUUAAGUUUCAGUUAUGGAGACGUCCGUGUCACCGGAGAGAACAGAGACAACAAGUUAAAUUGCUGUUGUGGUAGUUCCUGCUGUUUGGGAACGUUGCCUUGUGAGAAUACCUGAUUUCAUCAUCAGUUCAUCACCUUGUCUAUCUAUACUAAUGUCCAAAACACUCUUAUUAUGUGAAAAUUUUGAGCUUUAUGUUUCUAGCAAAUACAGCCAAGCACCGUCAUUGUCAUUCGGUAGUUACACUCUUUUUUAAAAAAUAGCGAUUCUACUGAUGUGGAGAAAGAAAGGGAGAAAUUUAGAAUUCACGAAAAUCAAGUCAUAAAAUACUCUAAAUUUUGUGAAAAAAAAGUAUUUUUGAAAAUGACAAAAGUAAGAAAAAAAGAAAAGGGAGGAAUGUUGUGAAGAUAAGGAGCACGACAGACAUGAAGGUUGGUUAGAUUACAAAGAACUCCACACGAAACGGUCAACACGAUUCUCGUGCCUCUCCUCUCUCAGACAUUCACAUUUACAAUUAUCUAUCCAGACGAAAUUACGAAUACGAUACAUAGUUGAUGCUACUAUACAAGGUGUUAUUAAUCAUUGUAUCGUACAUGAUUUGUUUAACCUUUUGAGACAACGAAACUAACUUUCUAACUUUGGUCUGAUUUAUCUUCCUUUUUUUCCUUGAGAUAAAGAACAUUAAUGUGUAUUUUCGUUAAAACACAUGCAUGCAUCACUGGUUCUGAAACCGUGGUUGAUAAAGUUAUGGAAGCAAAAAACAUAGAAUUUUCGUUAUACCACUGUAUUACACUUAAACUUCAAAUUGAUGUACGAUUGGAUUUUCUAAAAAAGAAUCGUGCACUACAUAUAUAUUGUUAGUGGCCUGAAGUUGAUUUCUCUACUUGUUUUUUCUCCACUACUUUUGGGUUAUGUGAUUGUCAACAACUUCCGAAAGUUACAUAAAUAUCUAGAAACAUUUCAACAACUUCCGAAAGUUUCCCCCUUUUAGAAACGUUUAUAAGUGUUGUCUUUUAUAAGCAAAAGGACUCUAGAUAUUUAUGAUUAAAAAUAUCAAAUGUAUUGCUAAUGGGUUCAGACGUAAUGUACGCAUUUCAAUAAGUUUGUUAGACUAGUUACCCAUAACUACUAUAUUUACAUUUAAAUUAGACCUAAGGAAAUAACUAUAUGUAUAUAUACAUAUAUAACAAAAUACUUAUAAAGUAAUAAAUAUUAGUUUAUCAAACACUCUCUUUGCACGUGUGCCUCACACCUUCUUCCCAUUGAUACGCUCGUUCUUGCACCUAACAAUAUCAACAUACGAAAUUUCAUAAAUUGAAAAAAAAAACAAAAAACAAUAAUAUCAACAUACGUAAAUAUAUAACCUAAUUAAUUACAUCUUAAUCCAUUAUUAAUCUAUGGUGAGAAAUUUUGUUAUAUUUAGGUUACAAGAUAUAUCGAAACUAAUAAACUUUUAUUUCUAAGCUUCUCAAAAGUAGUAAAAAGGGUAUAUAAUUGGUAGUAAAAAGGGUAAUACCAGUUAUAAUUAAUACUCCAUCCAUUUCGUUUUAGUUAUCGUUUUAGGACUUAAAUUUUGUUUCGUAAUAGUUGUCGUUUUAGGUUUUCAAUGCAAAUGUUUGGUAAAAAUUCCAGUAUUACUCCUAUUGUUUUAAUGUUUUGGCCAAUGAAAAAAUUUAUAGGAUAUAUUAAUAAAAGGUAAAACAGAAAAUUUAAUACUUUUCUUAGUUUGUGUGAAAAAACCUUAAACGACAGAUAAAACGUAACAGAGGGAAUAGUAUUGAUGUAAUUUUUUCGCCAAAAGAAUUACUUUAUUUAAUUUCAAACAUUUAAUUUAGUCAACAAUGUUGCAUACGUUUUUUCGCAUUUGACUAUAUUAGUCGUUAUAUAUAAUCAUUUUUGCCUUCUAUAAAUUUUAGUUAAUAAUACUCAUAAUUAAAAUUGAUAGACGACAAAAAAGUUUAUAAAGAUUAAUUUAGUCAAAUGCGAAAAACGUGUGAAACACUAUUGUCAUAUAUUAAUCUUAACAAGUAGAAAACAAAAGUAAUUAAUUAGUCAAUAAUAGAAUGGUGGAAAAAAAUGGUAAAAAACUUUGCAUACACUACAUGAAAAUUGUUCAUUGAUAGCGCAAAACAUCUGCUAUCUUACGUUAUAGAUAGCGAAAUCACAAAUGCUAUGACAUCGGCAGUUAUGGUAGGUGUUUCCCCUACGAUAGCAUUUUCUGGAAUGCUAUUAUAGGUUGCACUACCAUAACGUUAAUUAAAUGCUAUAUUCGAUUCAAUUGUAGCUCAUUAUUUAUGCCACGAUAUAUUAUGUUAUAGCAUUUAUCAAUUCUAUUUUUUCAAUUAAAAUUGACACGUUUUGAAUUCUAUAUUUGAUAUAUUUUUAUAUAAAUUAAAUCUGGUCAAAAAUAUAUAUUUAAAUAUAUUUUUAUUUCAUAGAAAAUCCAUUAAAAACAUAAAGUCUUACAAAAGACUAAUCCAAACCAAAUCUUAUAUAAAAACAUCAACGACUCUUAAAUAACAAGAGUACUAAUUUUAUGAGAUAAGGGGCAAAGAGAAACAAACUUCCCCUAUCGACAAUCACACAUUCUACCAAACACAAUCAACUAACUUGAUCAAACAAAUUUUCUUUUCUAAAUCUUACC